UGGUCAACAGCAUCCACCGAAUUGAAGCCCACGAAGACCGAAGCCAGCGAAGCCGCGUCUUCUCUCUUCAGCUCGCGUUUUCCUUCAGCUCCCAUAUUCGUCCGCGUGGUCUCCUCUUGCUCGUGGGUUUCGGCCAACUCGAAGACGCCAGCGGCCAGCUUCUUCAGCGCGUGGACGUUGUUGCUUCCUCUCCACGAUUGAUCGGCCCGACAAUUGAAGUCGACCCAAGCCCAGCUCAGUCCAUGCAUCUUCAUUUCCAAGCCCACGCAAAUCAGCAACCUGCAGCAGCCCAAUCUCCAGUAGAUUUUGAAGCCCAAGCUUAGGCCCAAGUUUAGUUAGUUCUAGCUCAUUUGAAGUUCAGCCAUUUUGGGCUCGAGAAGAAGGCCCAAGCCCGCAACCAGCAGCUUGCAGAAGCCCAAGACCUAAACUCAGCCUUGCUGAGAUUUGUUGGGCCCGUUUUAGGCCCAGUCCAAGUUCGCCGACGCCGCUGAAAAUUCAGAUUUCGGCCGCCGUCGCGCCGUCAUCGCGGUGAACCAAUUUCCGCAAUUAACUGGUGAGUUUAUACUCUAAACUCUGCUUAGUAGGCUAAUGACGUUUAAGGCGUGUUUAGAUUUAUUUUAUUAGGAAUUAGGUGGUUAGUUAAAUCAAAUUAGAAAUGUAAUUAUUUAAUUGAGCAUGUUAGGUGGUUAGCAUGGUUUAGUUAAGGCCUAAAUAAAUUGUACUAUUUAUCUAGAAGGGUUCGGGAAUUUAUCCGAGUCCGUAUUAGUUAUUAAUUUAAUGAUUUUGGCCUAGGUUAGUAUUUUUAGAAUUUAAAUUGAUUUAUUUAAUUAAUUUCAGUAAUUAUUUAAUUAUUAAUUUUUUCUAGAAAUUAGCCCGGGAUAGCCGGUGACCGGAAUUUCGUGCUGAUUACAAUGGUGUGCUUAAAUUCUACAAUUGAGUGUUAAAUUAUGCAAAUUAAUGCUAAUUGGAUUUUUGGUAUUAAAUUCCAAAAAAAAAAGUGAAUUUCCAAUAUUUAUUAAGAAAAUUCCAGGUGUCGGGUUUUGACACCGAAAAUGGUUUUUAGUACUAUAUGAAAAUAGUGGGAUUUCAAAAAGAAGAAUAUCAAUUUUUUCUGGGUCAAGUUGACCGUGUACCCACACACGAGUAAUUUUAUGUGAAUUUCUAAUAUGAAGAAAAAGGCCAGGCUCACCAUUUUAAUUGAAGCGUUUGAGUGCAAUGCACGGUGCCCUGGGCCAUAUUUGAGUGAUCAUGUGAUGGUUAAGAGAAAUCGUCCCGGGCUGUUGAGUUGGAUGUUAUCCUUAUUUGGGAUACCCCCUGGAUAACGGGAAGCCGGUCGCAGUUGAUUCUGGACCCUAUUCUCCUUCGGGAAAGCCGUUUGAUAGAUAAACGUGCCGUGCUCAAUGGGGUGAGAUGAUACCUGGCAAUGCCAGAAGACCGCCGAACAGAGAGUAGGCCGUGCUAUAUGCCGAGAUCAAAACUAGGAACGCAUGAUUAAUUGAGUGUAGCGUUUUAGUUAUUGGAGCCUAUUUGUUGCUCAUGUUCUCAUGUUGUUUGGGACAUAAAUUGUACUGACUUGCUGGGUGGAUCUGAGACGAGGUAAGUCUCCUUGAUUGUGUGAUUGUGUGAUUAGGACACUUCUAGGCGUAUUUCCCUCUUAAUUGGGGUUUAGAGCUUAGACUCGCCGAGAUGAUAUCUCACUCCGUUGUGGGACAACAUUUUCAGGGUCGGCGAGUGGAGGACCUGGAGCUGAGAGGAGGUGAUUGGAAGUGUAGGUCAGUUAGGAUCGCUUCUUUUUGGAAGGCCAGUUUUUUGUAGUCUUUUGGCCAUAGACUUGUGUACAUGACUCAGUGUAUAUAUAAAAGCAUAUUUGUUUGUGAAUCUAUUGUCCUUUUUUUUUUUUAUCCCGUGAUGAUUACUGUCAGGGGAUUUCUUUUCGCUUCCGCAUGUGCAGUAAAAUGGAAAGGGUCGGCGACUCGUCCUAAGAAGUCGCAAAUUAUUAUCGACUAGAUAGGGAUGGGCACGCAUUCGGGGUUCGGGGUGUGAUAAAGGCAGCGAGGUAUAAGGCGAGACUUAUGGCGAAGGGAUAUACAUAGCAUGAGGGAAUUGACUACAAUGAGGUGUUUUCUCCUGUGGUAAAACAUACUUCUAUUCGUGUUUUACGUGCCUUAGUUACUUCGCAAGAUCUCGAAUUAGAGCAGCUAGAUGUGAAAACUGUGUUUCUUCACAGUGAGUUGGAGGAGCAAAUCUACAUGAGGUAACCAGAGGGAUUUGCUAUUCUGGGUAAGGAAAAUCAUAUUUGCUUGUUAAAGAAAUCUUUGUAUGGUCUGAAAUAGUUUCCUAGAUAGUGGUAUAAACAUUUUGAUGCUUUCAUGACUAGUCAAAACUAUUCAAAAAGUCAGAUGGACAGCUGCGUUUACUUUAGGAGAUUGGAGAAUGGUUCUUUGAUUUAUCUACUCUUAUAUGUUGAUGAUAUGCUAAUAGCAGCUAAGGAUAUGUUUGAUAUUGAUGUGCUGAAGAGGCAGUUAAAUGUUGAAUUUGAGAUGAAAGAUUUAGGUGUUGCAAAGAAAAUUUUGGAUAUGCAGAUUUUGCGUGACAGGGCUGCAGGAGUUUUACGUCUAUCUUAAAAGAAAUAUAUUGAGAAGAUCAUAGCACGUUUUAAUAUGUAGUCAGCAAAAUCUGUAAGUACACCUUUAGCAAAACACUUUAAACUUUCAGAUAAAUUAUCACCGCAGACUGAGGAGAAGGAGGAAGAGCAUAUGUCCCGUGUUCCUUAUUCUAGUGCCGUGGGUAGUAUUAUGUAUGUUAUGGUAUGCACUAUGCCUGAUAUUUCACAAGCUGUGAGCGUGGUUAGUCGCAAUAUGAAGCGUUUUGGUAAAGCUCAUUGGGAAGCUGUGAAGUGAAUCCUCAGAUAAUUGAAAGGGACAACAGACAUGGGUAUAGUAUAUCGAAAUGACAGCAAUGGCAGUGAGACCACUAGUUUUAUGGAUUCGGAUCCCACCGGUAAUUUGGACGAUUGCAGGUCUUUAGCAGGUUAUGUGUUUACAAUAGCGGGUGGUGAGGCAGAGUACAUGACACUAACCUUUGUAGCGAAAGAGGCGAUAUGGUUACAAAGUUUGCUCUCGGACUUUGGAUUAGAACAGAAAAGUAUGGAUAUACACUGUGACAACCAAGGUGCGAUAUAUUUGGCGUAUAAUCCAGUUUAUCACGAGCGAACGAAGCAUAUCAACGUUAGAUACUACUUCAUUCGAGAUGUCUUAGUUAGGGAUAAUGUUAUUGUAAAAAGGAUUGCUACAGCAGAUAACCCAACAGACAUGAUGACUAAAUCUGUUCCUUUGACGAAGCUCAAGCUCUGCUUGAGUUCUAUUGGUGUUUAUGGAGAGUAAGUGCCCAUCGGAGUGUUGGGAGAGUAGCAUGGAUAAUGAGCAUUAUAACUUGGUUUCAAACAUCGAGCCAAGGUGGAGAAUUGUUAAAUUAAUGUUUCAAGUUUGAAUUCGGAUGACGAUUUAUUAUACCAAAUUUUAUCAAUAAAGAUUUCCCAAGCCAAGAAGAAAUUUCGUCGGUCUUUGAAGGAUUACAAAAUAAAAGGAAGAUACGAAAGCUACUUUACCCGCGGAAGUUGGCCGAAAUUUGUUACGCAGGUGGGGCCCAAAAGUCAACGCACGCACACACACAUCCGAAGAAAGAAGCCUCUGCAGCACCAUUCUGCCGCAUGAAUUACAAAACGUAGGUGGGCCCAGGUCAAAGUUUGACCUGGGCACACACGUAUAAAAGGAGAAAUAAUUGUUGCAGGUCUUUCUUCCGCCCGAAAAGAAGCGCGCGGCUGUAACCCUACGAAGCAGCGUAAGCCCGACAUAGAAGAAGCCGCAAGGAGUCGCACGUCCGCCGAAGAGAAGCUGGAGAUUUUUCUUUUUGGCGUGCGACUUGAAUGCGUGGUAUUUUGUGCCGUGAGUGUAUCCCUAAGUGAGUUGUUUAUUUAUAAAUAUUUUGGAUUUAGGGUUAAAUCUAGCUGUGGAAAACACUUAAGCGAUUGUAAACUCUAAUUCUCCGAUUAUAGUGAACUAUUUACUGCUGGCUCUCCCCGUGGACGUAGGUACCGAUACUCAGACCGAACCACGUAAAUUUCUGAUAUCCUUAUUUUUCUCGUUUAUUUUUCUAAUGAUUUCACGUUGACGUAAAUUGCAAGAUCCUGUCGUUUCCGUAUAUUAUAUCCCAACAAAGUUCAUGAUUACCUGAAAACUCUCCAACGGGACCUACAUAUAACUAGAGGUGAGUAUGAUGAGGAAACUCAAUAUCCGGAGACUAAGACAUUAACUAUUGGCCAAUUCAAGCUUGGACUUUGCCAUGGUCAUCAGGUUGGAUGCUUCUACUAUUUCACUCUAUCUGUACUUCUUUUUUUAAACCCCAACUAUUUUUAUUUGAUUUUUUUAUUCUGCAAUCCGAAAGUGUUAGUUCCUGGGGGCUGGAGCUUUUCAUUAAUCGAUAUUCAACCACUAACGAUGCAACUGAUUGCGAAACUGAUGGGUGGCAUGAAACCAGAGGAGAUGGUUCAAUCAGUAAAGUUUAGAAUGCUUAAGGGAUUACGUUGCUAGGUUAAUCAUCAGGAAGUUGUUGAUGGUUCACUGCCUUUCUAUACUGAUCGUCCCUGGGAAACUUAAGCUUAAGUUGGCAAGCGUGGAAGCUAUCUAAACUUGUUUUGACAGUAAGGACAUUAAUCUGGUGAAUUUAUUGCUAACUAAGAGUGAGAUGGACAAAUAGUUUUAGGAGUCAUAGCGCAUAUUAGGAAGUCCAUCUCACUUCCUUGCUCCUUGGAAGACAUUCUGCGCCCCAUCAUGGAGCAUCAUUGCUGCUUGCUAGUGAUUACAGUCAAUUCCGCUUCCUGUUCUAGUGUCAUAGUACUAUAUUAGUUAGAUAUGGGCAAAUAGUUUUACAAGUCAGUGCAUGGGAGGAAGUUUAUCUUUCUUCCUUGCUCCUUGGAAGACAUUAUGCGGAACUUAUCUCUGCCCCAUCAUGGAGCUUCAUUGCUGCUUGCUAGUGAUUAAAGUCAAUUCCGCUUCCUGUAACUGUGUCAUAGUACUAUAGUAGUUUGAAAGGCACUUGGAAAUUGGAGCCCAAUAAAAGAGAAGUGUCUUAUUUAGUUGACACCAAAGUUUCUUGUAUUGAUCUUAAUUAUCUCACUCCCUCUCCUUUGGUGCUUUGUAGGUUAUUCCUUGGGGAGAUCUGGACUUUCUAGCGAUGCUCCAGAAGCAGCUGGACGUUGAUAUCCUUGGAACGGGUCACACCCGCCAGUUCACUGCGUACAAGCAUGAGAAAGGGGUCGUGAUAAACCCAGGUUCUGCUACUGGUGCAUACAGCAGCAUCACUUACGAUGUGAAUCCUAGCUUUAUGCUCAUCUAUAUUGAUGGCCUGCACGUGGUGGUUUAUGUUUAUGAACUCAUUGCUGGGCAAGUUAAGGUCGAUAAGAUUGACUUGAAGAAGACCACUACGACGACUGCUCAUUGACUGCCAUUUUACGUACUUAUAGCUUUGACUGUAACACCUGAAAUUCUGUCAUGCUUAUUUUGUUGAAGCAAUCCUAGCUUAUAUGCCUUUGUCAUUGUCAAAUGACUGAUGGACUCGCUUGUUUUACCGUGAGUACUUAUAUAGUAUGAACAUAAUGCUGGACAUGUCAUUAAGGGCACCAAGCACAUUAUAAAGGACAACUGCGCAUACUUUUAAAGAGGGGAUUGUUCAAGCUCCCUCGUUGCAUAUACUCAAAUAUUAGCAGUCUUUGGUCGGCUUCCACGCAAAGUGAGUGCACAUAUGCUGUUGCAGGGCAGCGCACAGCAAAGUGCGAUGUCUAUGGUUUUGGUGUGGUUCUUUUGGAAAUUAUGACCAGACAGACAGUCAUACACCAAGGUUGGCCUUCCCGUGAAAUUAACCUUGUUAAAUAUGUUCAGCCUCAUCUAGGAAGGAAAAAAGAAUUGUACAAAUUGAUGGAUCCAAGGCUUGAAGAGUUCUCGGAAAAAGGUGUCCAAAUUGCUUUCAAGUUGGCUGCUCGCUGCCUUAGCGAAGAUCCAAAAGCUCGUCCCCGGAUGAGUGAAGUUGUAGAAGUUUUGAAGACUAUCCAAGAUCUUCCAUACAAGGCAGGAACAUCAAAUAUUCAGAACAAGACUCGGGAAGCGCUGGCCGUGAAAUGACGUCCAAACUCAAACCAUGGUGAAUUCAAGGAAUGCAAGUCUUUCAAUUCCAGGCGGACCAACACAUAUGCAUGCCACCACACCACCAAUCUCUGGAAGCCAGUGGUAAACUGGGAUAAUGUGUCUAUAAAUAGCCGUUGUUCAACCCCAUUUGUUUCCUUUUCUCCUCUUCUCCCUUUUGAUGUCGGAGUCUCGACUUCCAUCUGAACAUUCGCUCCUAAUUACUGAAUUGUCGAUGGAGUAAAAUAUAAUCUGAGUUAUGUUGCGUUUAUAAAGGCACCCUUUGAAGAGUGGUCAGGUGAAUCCUAAAAAUGGGACGUAUGCUUGCGCGUUGAUGCCUUAUCAACAGCAUUUUAAUGAUAAUGAUUACCUUUGAUGGUGCUUAUUUGAUGUACCUUUUCCUGUAAAAUUUAUUCUAUAUCAAAUUUUUCAUGUUGUGGCAUGUCUUUGACACAUGUUCUUGUUCUCAAUAAUUAUCUCGUUUGUUAUGAAAUACAUGAAUGAAUAUUCAUUAUAUUCAUCUUAUCUAAUGUACUUAUUAUGGUACAUUUGUAUAAUAUAUUCUAAGUACAUCUCCCUAUACAAUGAACGUUCAUCUCCUUUAUCCAGUACAUGUAUUAUUUGAUACAUUGAUAUUAAUGAUAAGUAUAUUCUUGUUCUCCUAUAAAUAGGAGUUUAGUUUUGAUGUAUAAUAACAACUAUUAGAACAACAAUCACAAUACAGUGAAAUAUCCGGCUUUCUCUACUAUCUCUAGUGUUCACUUGCUUUCUCUUCUUAAUCUCUUCUCUAUUAUAUAUUCGCAACGCAAUAUUUUACAACACGUUAUCAGCACGAAGAUCUACCAACUGAGUAAGUAAUUUUUGCAAGCACGAGGAACUACCGAUUAAGUAAGUAAUUUUUGCAAGGUGGGUGUUCUUUUUAUUAAUCAACUUAUACUUCAUCUUCUUCUAUCAAUUCUUCAUUUUUAUUUUUCUUGGCCCGAAGCCAAAUUUCAAAUCUAAAAGUAUCCUUCUGCUCCUGAAGUGGCAACGGAUAUUUGGAAAUCCUUUUAAUUAAUCUAAGGAUUUGAUUUUGCAAGGAUUAUAUGCAACUUUUAUGAUACUUGAUGUUAGGGAAAUCCCUUAUGAUGUUUUGAAGAUGACAAAAUAAAUCAAAGGCUACUAAUGUAUUUGAUGGUUGAGUAAUAGGCCAUGCAGAUAAUAGAACAUAUAAAGGAUAUUGUCAAAGUCUGAAGACGACCAGAAGAUUGAACGUAACAUAUGUCCAAAGUAUAUUUUGAAGAUUUCCAGACUUCUGUGUCAAAGUCUGAAGACUGCCAGACUUUAGUGUCAAAGUCUGUUCUACAUCAGAAGCCUGUCAACUCUGACAAAUUCCAAACUGAACGUGAAUGAUGAACCAGAAGACAGACUCUAUGCUGAAGCUGAACUGGGUACAGACCUUAAAGCUAAAUCUGUUCAGAAGUAGAAUAUGUUCAAACUCAGAUUGUAAAGUCUAUGGCUCUUAGACUUUACAUCCAGAUUCGAAAGAACGUAAUACAAGCCCAAUCAUAUAACGGCUAGUGAUCUAGUUUGGAUUCCACAUCAAGAUUGAUUUGAUUGAUUCAAUCUAAUUGAUUGACGAUUAGAUCUUGAAGACAAGAACUUUCUAUACGAAGAAGCUUUACUUAUGGAAACCAAGAUUCUGUUUGUAUGGACGAUCGGAAUCAAUUUGGGAUUCUACAUUUGUCACUCAACGGCUACCAAAUCUUCUAGAUACAGAGCUGUCCAAUAGGUAAAUUGGAAGACGAUCCUCAAGAUACUAUCCAACGGGUAGUUUGGAAGUGGAGGAGUAUUUAAGGAGAUGAAGGACUGAUGAGCAAGUAAGAGAUAGAGUGUAGAAUUUAUAAUUCCAAAGUCUGAGCGACCUUCGAUCAUAUACUUAUCUCUUGAAAGCUUAAACGUUUGUGAUCGUGAGAGAAAUACCAAAAGAGUGACUUAGUGAGAUAGUGUGAUCUACUAAGUGUUUGCACUCGAAGUUGUAAUCUCUUGUUGAUUGCAUAGUGGAAUCCAGCCAAGAAGGCUGUUAGCGUGGGAGAAUGGACAUAGGCUUGGAUUAAGCCGAACCACUAUAAACCUUGUGUUCUUAUUCUCUUCCCUAACUCCUUUGUUUGAAGUUUAUUUUAUUCCACAUAUAUUUACCAAGAUUUAUUUUAAACACCUAUUCACCCCCCUCUAGGUGUUCAUACUAGCACUCUCAAUUGGUAUCAGAGCCAAGUGCUCGGUUUAUAAAAGUGUUUUUACUUUUGAGCUAAAGAUCUUUUAUGGCUAGUAUCUCGGCACCAAGACUUAUGGAAGGACAAAACAACACAAGGCCACCAUAUUUUGAUGAAAAGGAAUACAACGCGUGGAAGAACAAAAUGAAAGCAUUCCUAAGAUCCAAAGAUCCCUUGCAAUGGGAUGUUGUGGAAAAAGGAAUCAAUCCUACUGCUGCGUCUACAUCAAAUAAGAAUGGCAAAGACAAAGAAAGCAAACCCCCCGCUCCUAUGUCUCGGAUGGAGAUGUCCAAAAGAGAAGCGCUUGAUGCAAAAGCCAUUUAUUCUUUAUAUUGCGCAUUGUCUCCUGCUGAAUAUAAUAGAAUCUCUUCAUGUGAAACAGCAAAAGAAGUUUGGGAUAGACUUCAUGUUACAUAUGAAGGGACUGAUCGUGUAAAAGAGACAAAAGUAAACUUCCUGCUCGGCAAAUAUGAAUCCUUCAAGAUGAAGCAAGGAGAGUCAAUUGGAGAUAUGUUUAGCCGUUUUACAGAAAUUGUAAAUGGUUUAGCAUAUCAAGGUCAGCCUAUUUCUUCUCCAAUGAAGGUCAACAAACUCUUGCGAUGUCUCUCAAAAGAUUGGAACCAUGUCAAGACCUCAAUCCGGGAGACUCAGAGGAUUAUGCCACUCUCCGUUGAUGAAUUGAUUGGCACUCUUCAAUCCUAUGAAGUGGAACAACUCAACGAUGAAGAUCCCGAAAGUAAGAAGUCCAUUGCUUUAAUAUCUAAUGCUAUUUUUGAUGAAACAGACUCAGAAAAUGACAUGGACAACGAAGAAUUUGCUUUUAUGAUCGAGAAAUUCAAAAACCUGAGUAGAAAAGAAAUGAAGUUUAGUGAAAGAAGACAAUACAAGCAGAAUGGCCAGAAAAGAAUAAUGAAAGAAGGUGAUGAGCAAGGAAAUAUAUGCUUGAUGGCACAUUCAGAAUCUGAGUCUGACUCAGACACAAACUCAGAAUCAGAGUCUGACUCAGACACAGACUCAAAAUCCGAUGAGGAAAUCAAGGUAAGCCAUUCAAAAAUUCAUCUCAAAGUUUCAAAGUAUAUAAAUGAGCUUUGCUUAAAUCUCAAAUUUUCUCUUAAAAGAAUCUUCAAACUUAGAAAGGAGAAUUCUCGACUUAGGCAACAUGAUCUUUCUCAAAAAGAAAAUUUUGAAAUUUUGCAAAAAGAUUUUCUACAAACAAAAGAAAGUCGAGAUUUACUUGUCAAAGAAAAUGAUUCUUUGAAGAAAGAAUUUUCAAAUAUUUCGACAAGAUUUUUAAAUGGAUCAAAAACAUUAGAGCAUAUCCUUUCUAUACAAGUUCCUUACUAUAAUAAGUCGGGACUUGGUUUUGAUAAGGAAAGUGAUUCUCUAAUUGAUUUUCCUAAAGUCAAGGAGAGACUUAAACAAAGACCUCUUAAGGCAUUUUACAAAAAUCAUUUUCAAAAAGUGUUUGUAAAACCUGUUGGUGAAAAUGACGUCAAGUGUUCAAAUUGUGGAGAUUCGGAAUACUUUGAGAAAGAAUGUCCUAAAGUCUAGAAACCUAUUAAGAGAGAUUGGAUAAAAGCAGCAUAUUCUACUAACUCUCAUGGACCCAAGAAAAAAUGGGUACCAAAGAAAAGAUGAGUUAUUUUUGCAGGAUAUAAAGAAGAAAGAAGAAAGAGGAUUUGGCAAGGAAUUUUUUAUUCUCAAUUUGAUUUUGGUAAUAAUUCUCAUAUUCGAUAUAUCCUUGGUUGAUUGAGAUUUUAUAAUGAUCAUAUUUUGCUUUAUGGAAUAAAGAAUCGUACGAUUUGUUUUUGUGAUUUGUGAGUUGAGAUUUGAUUUAGUACGUGUGAUUAUUUGAGAUAAUUUAGAUUAUUUUGUCUAAUUUUAUACUUCAGAUUUAAUCAUAUUUUGCAAAGUGAAAAUCUGUUUUACGUGAUGAUGCAAGAUAUUCUUAGAUAUUCAAAGAUUUUAUUCUCUCUGUUUUUAUCGUACUAUGACUAGGUGAGAAUUUAUUUUUCAAAAUAUCAUUGUGUAUAAUAUUCUUUCUUUGAAUACUUUGUUACGAUGAAUUAAGAAAGAAUAUUUGAUUAUGGAGAUUUUCUAUUUUACUCUAACGUCAAGGAAUGAUCCAAAUUGAUGGAUACCAAAAAGGGAAAUGAGUUGAUUGCAAGAAAUUCUUUAAGGGAAAGAUGAUUGCGAAUCUACGCAAAUUUUGGUGCAAUCAGAAAAUAUCUUCUGCGACAAUUGGUAAUAAUUUUUUUUAAUCAAUGGUAUAUUUGAAACAUAUACCUGGGUAAGAGAAAUUUUUUUAUCCUGCCUUGCAAAUUUCUACGUGCAUUUAUCAUGAUGAUUGUUUAUUAUAUUGUGAAUAUCUUUUGUUAUAAAUAUAAGGUAUUGCAAUUUUGGCACGUAACAUAAAUAUUUAUUUUCCUUUUGCAAAAUGCAUAUAUGAAAUUUAUGCUCAAGGAAAUCGCUUUGAUCUCAAAAGAUAUUACUGCAUAUUCAUGGAUAUUCUUGCUAUAUUCUUAGAAGAUAUAUUCUAUCUAGCAAGUUUGAUAUGCAAAUCAAAAGAAUAUAUUACGUGACAUUUUUGCAAAGAUGGUUAUCCAUUAUAUAAGAAUUUGCAGGUCACAAAAGAAUCUUCCAUAUGAAUUUUGGAAAACUCAAUCAGAAAAUCAUGGAGAUUCUAUACUAUCUUUUGGAAGUUCAAAAAUUCUAUUCCUUGUGCAAAAUUUUUGCAAAUUAUUGAGGAAAUCCCUUAUGUGUCGUACAAAAGGUUGGGUAGUUCAGAAUUUUAAUAUUUGAUAAUUUUAUAUAUGCUAUUCAAUUUAUCUAUUUGAAGAAAAUUGUAUUAUAUAUUAUGUGGAUAUUAUUAUAGCUUAUUUGUGCAAAAAGUUUGUUAAGUUGAUGCAGGUUGAAUUCGAGAUGAGCUUGAUUGAAGAAAAUAAUUUUUUGCCUCAAAUUUCAAAAUGCAAGUGAUCGUUGUGGAUGUUGUUUCUACAAAGGAAAUACUGAAAAAUAUAUUAUGUUCAACGUGCACAAGCAACAAUUAUUUCUAUUCGCAAAUAUUGUCAUGAUCACAGGGGGAGAAAGCAAAUCCAAGAAAAAGGAAAGAAUCGUGAUCAUCUCAAAAAGGCAACAAAUUAAGGGGGAGCUUUGAUCAAUUAUGAAAAAAUCUUUUUGGAUUAAUCGUGAUCUUAUUAUGGAUGGAAGGAAAGGUAAAUGUGUCAGAAUUUAUUCUAAAAAAUCCGGUUAGUGCCUAUUUCAUUACCUUUUGUCAUUAACAAAUCUUUUAUUGAUUUUAUUAUGACAAAAAGGGUACGUGCAAGUUAUGAUGCAUCCGUGAUUUUUAUUGGAUAUUUGUUGAUAUAUAUAUAUGAUCGAAGUGAGCUAUAUUGCAUAUCUUUAAUAUUCGACUUGCUUUAUAAAAGCUGAUCUUUUUGGAAAUUAUAUGUCAUGCAAGAUAUAUUUAUCAUUUUAUAUUCUCUACGUGAUACUAUUUUUAUUGUUAUCGCUUUUUGAUUAUGACAAAAAGGGGGAGAAGAUAUGAAUAUGCGUAUAUGUUGAUUGGUUAAUAUUAUUUAUUGCAUAAUAUUGAGCUGCGAUUAUUUUUCUAUAUAUUGUUAUGCUCAAUCUAUUUGCUAUCUUAUGAUAUCCUUUUAUUUAAAUUAAUAUUUUUAAAAGCAUGUUUACAAAUCUGCAUAUUCAGAGAUUAUUUUGUCAUCAUCAAAAAGGGGGAGAUUGUUAGGGAAAUCCCUUAUGAUGUUUUGAAGAUGACAAAAUAAAUCAAAUGCUACUAAUGUAUUUGAUGGUUGAGUAAUAGGCCAUGCAGAUAAUAGAACAUGUAAAGGAUAUUGUCAAAUUCUGAAGACGGCCAGAAGAUUGAACGUAACAUAUGUCCAAAAUAUAUUCUGAAGAUUUCCAGACUUCUGUGUCAAAGUCUGAAGACUGCCAGAUUUUAGUGUCAAAAUCUGUUCUACAUCAGAAGUCUGUCAACUCUGACAAAUUCCAGACUGAACGUGAAUGAUGAACCAGAAGACAGACUCUAUGCUGAAGCUGAACUGGGUACAGACCUUAAAGCUAAAUCUGUUUAGAAGCAGAAUAUGUUCAGACUCAGAUUGUAAAGUCUAUGGCUCUCAGACUUUACAUCGAGAUUCGACAGAACGUAAUACAAGCCCAAUCAUAUAACGGCUAGUGAUCUAGUUUGGAUUCCACAUCAAGAUUGAUUUGAUUGAUUCAAUCUAAUUGAUUGACGAUUGGAUCUUGAAGACAAGAACUUUCUAUACGAAGAAGCUUUACUUAUGAAAACCAAGAUUCCGUUUGUAUGGGCGAUCGGAAUCAAUUUGGGAUUCUACAUUUGUCACUCAACGGCUACCAAAUCUUCUAGAUACAGAGCUGUCCAAUGGGUAUAUUGGAAAACGAUCCUCAAUAUACUAUCCAACGGGUAGUUUGGAAGUGGAGGAGUAUUUAAGGAGAUGAAGGAUCGAUGAGCAAGUAAGAGAUAUAGCGUAGAAUUUAUAAUUCCAAAGUCUGAGCGACCUUCGAUCAUAUACUUGUCUCUUGAAAGCUUAAACGUUUGUGAUCGUGAGAGAAAUACCAAAAGAGUGACUUAGUGAGAUAAUGUGAUCUACUAAGUGUUUGCACUCGAAGUUGUAAUCUCUUGUUGAUUGCAUAGUGGAAUCCAGCCAAGAAGGCUGUUAGCGUGGGAGAGUGGACGUAGGCUUGGAUUAAGCCUACUAAGUGUAACAACUAAGUGUUUGCUUGAUAGUGUAACAACACAUACUAUAUUAUGUAUUAGACACUUUUUCUCGAGUAUGACAUUGCGUAAGGCACAAAUUCAUACAAUAUCAGGUCAUGUUCCGAUUAUUGAUGGUUUUGGGAAUGCUACAAUUAUUUUGCCAAAUGGCACAAUCCUGCAUAUUGAAAAUGCGUUUCUAAGCAUUCGAUCAAAAAGGAAUCUGCUCAGUUUCAAAUAUGUACGCCAUAAUGGGUACCAUAUUGAGACUAGUUAUGAGCAAGAUAAGGAAUAUAUUGGCAUUUCCUUUUAUAAGAUGAGCUUGAAGACCAUCCAUGAGAAGCUAGAAGCUUCUUCUAUGGGUUUGUAUUGUGUCAUGAUUAAGGCUAUUGAAACCUACGCCAUCACAUCCUGGAGAUUUGUAAGCCCUGAUCAGUUUACACUGUGGCAUGAUCGCCUUGGUCAUCCUGGCGCUUCAAUGAUGCGUAGGAUAAUUCAAAAUAUAAAAGAGCACCAUUUAAAGGAUAUAAAGGUAUUGUUGUCCAAAGAUUAUAAUUGUGAGGCUUGCUCACAAGGAAAGCUCAUUAUCAAACCUUCUAUAACAAAGGUUAAUUUUGAAUCUCAUUUAUUCUUGCAAAGAAUUCAUUGUGAUAUUUGUGGAUCAAUACAAACACCAAGUGGACUAUUUCGAUAUUUUAUGGUAUUAGUGGACGCAUCCUGUAGAUGGUCCCAUGUUUGCCUAUUAUCUACUCGCAAUAUCGCAUUUGCAUGUUUACUUGCGCAGAUUAUAAAGCUCCAGGCACAAUUCCCUAAUUAUCCAAUUAAGAGCAUAAUGAUAGAUAAUGCUAGUGAAUUUACAUCAAAGAGUUUUGAUACAUAUUGUGCUUCACUCGGAAUCGAGGUUAAGCAGUUGGUUGCAUAUGUUCAUUCUCAAAAUGGAUUGGCAGAAUCCUUGAUUAAACGUAUCCAAAUCAUUGCCCGCACUCUAUUAUUGAGAACGAAUCUCAAUGAUACAGCAUGGGGUCAUGCAGUUUUGCAUGCGGCAGCUGUAAUAAGAUUACGCCCCACUGCUAGUCUUUUACAAUCUCCUCUUCAAAUGGUUAUUGGUUAUAAACUAGAUAUUUCACAUUUACGCACCUUUGGUUAUGCAGUACAGGUGCCUAUAGCACCGCCAAAAAGGACGAAAAUAGGUCCCCAAUGCCGUUUGGGCAUUUAUGUUAGGUUUAAUUCACCGUCUAUCAUUAGGUUCUUGGAACCAACUACUGAUGAUCUUUUUACUACCAGGUUUGCAGAUUGUCAUUUCGAUGAGACUAGGUUUCCAUCAAUUGGGAUACCUACAACUUCCAUGACUGCAAAACAAAAACCAGUUAAGGUUUUCUCCUGGAAUGAGAAAAAUUUAUCUCAAUUAGACCCAAGGAUCCCUAAAUGUGAAAACGAGGUGCAGCGCAUAAUCCAUUUACAGGCUAUGGCUAAUAGACUUCUUGAUGCAUUUAAUGAUGCUAUUAAGGUAACGAAGUCUCAUAUUCCAACUGCAAAUGCUCCAACUAGGAUAGCUGUUCUCGAAGAACAAGCUAAAAUGGAUCAAAAUCCCCUGCACUCGAAGUGUGGUAGACCGAUAAGAUGCAAGAUUGAUUAGCCCCAGAAGUGACUAUAUGGCUCAAUUGAGGGGGAGAUAUUAUGAAAUAUACAUUGCAGUAUUGAUAUGCGGCGAGUUCACAAGAUGCAAUAAUGAUUAGCCCAAAGAGUGGCUAUAUAUGAAUUGCACUCUUUUUUUCUUUAUGUCCGGUUUUUUCCCAUAGGAUUUUUCCGGCUUAAAGUUUUUAAUGAGGCAAUUAAUGCAUCCAUAAAAGGGAGAGAUCAUAACAUUUGUGCUCUGCACUCUUUUUCCCUUUUGUCCGAUUUUUAUCCCACUGGGUUUUUCCGGCUUAAGAUUUUUAAUGAGGCAGUAUCAUUCGAUGCACAUUCGUAAUGAAUAUGAUGAAUAUUCAAGGGGAAGUGUUAUGAAAUACAUGAAUUAAUAUUCAUUAUAUUCAUCUUAUCUAAUGUACUUAUUAUGAUACAUUUGUAUCAUAUAUUCUAAAUACAUCUCCCUAUACAAUGAACGUUCAUCUCCCUUAUCCAGUACAUAUAUCAUUUAAUACAUUGAUAUUUAUGAUAAGUACAUUCUUGUUCUCCUAUAAAUAGGAGUUUAGUUUUGAUAUACAAUAACAACUAUUAGAACAACAAUCACAAUACAGUGAAAUAUUAUGCUUUCUCUACUAUCUCUAGUGUUCACUUGCUUUCUCUUCUUAAUCUCUUCUCUAUUAUAUAUUCGCAAUGCAAUAUUUUACAUCGUUGUAUUUCUAUUUCUUGUCCAAAUUUUAACCACGAUAAAUUGUUGGAAAUUCUUUUGGGCCAGUAUUUAUUGUUGAAACCGGUAUUUGAGCAUUCAAUGUAGGCUAUUUUUUUAUCGUAUUUUUUGUUUGGGCCUAUGCGGCCCAACCUAAAAAAGUUGUUCAUGGGCUGUGGACCCAGCCCAAGAGAGUGCGGCCCCGUUAACCACUCCUAGGACAGAGGUUGGAAUGCUGUUGCCAAGGCGCCUCCAAGCUUUUUUCUUUGAGUUUUUUUUUUUUCAUAUUAUUCUAUUUUUUCCGAGAUAUUCUUUUCUCUUUUUGUUGGGUUUAUUUUUCCUAUAAAUAAAUAUAAAGUAUAUUCUUUUCUAAAAUUUCUAUUCUUUUUUCUCCUCCUCUUUUUCUUUUUCUUUAAAAUCUAAUCAAAGAUAUUCUUGCUUUUUUUUAUAUGUAAUAAUACAUUUUCCUUUUGUAUUUUCCAAUCAUUCUAUUUUUUUUUUUUUGGUAAAAAUAUUUUCCAAUCAGUCUAUUCAUACAGGUGGACUUGAUCAAAUCCGACUAUAUGCAAUUCACUUUGAUAUUUCCCAACCUACUCAGUAAAACGUCAACAAAGACGUUUUUCAACUGAGAAAGAAUAACGAUACUCACAUAAUUUUGAAAAUUACUAGUGUGCUGCCCAAAAAAAAAAACUUUUUUUCCCACGACAUUGCCCAGGUUUCUUUUCUCCGCACUCCCUCGAUUGCUGCCUUUGCCACAUCUCCAUCCACUCUUUAACUUUGGCCUCCCCACAAGCCGAGGUACUCUAUUCGUUCCUGCAUUUCUAGGGUUUUAUGAGUUUCACUUUUGCAUGUGUGCUUGUCAUGUUAAGUGCUUUCAUGCCCGAAAGCGUUUCGAUCUAUUGAUUUCUUCCGUUGGCAAUUUUUAGUUGUAGCGCUGCCGCCGUGGACAUCAUUUUGCGGGGGGCGGUGUGGCAUCGUCCAUGCUGAUAGCGGGCAUGUGAUGAAAUUUGUAUAUUGGACAGGACCUGUAUUUUUUGAGAGAAUAUUAGCUUUUGCUCUGGGUGUUUGAUGAAUUAGUAAUUUUCUUUUAGUGAGUCACUGAUUCCAUUUUUCAUCAUUGUUUGAGUGUUUGUUGAUUCUGAUGGUAGUUUGUCUUUUAAUUGUGUUUAUGUAAUUGCUUACCUUUAUCCAUCGCUUCUAGACACCCAUGGAGACUUUGGGGGCCUACUAGCUUGUCGACGACGAGAACACGAGCUGUUCAUUUUUCUUCUUGAACAUACAUUGGCUCUCUAAAUUUGCACAUUGCUGCUAGGUAAUAUUAAAAUAUAAUAAGUGUGCCAUGCACGAUGUGCAUAUUCCAAUGCCAACAUAAAAAAUCUAAAUUUCAAUUAAAAAAGCAUCACCACCCAAUUGACAUAAGUACCAAUAAGUCAUAAUUGCUUUUUAUAAUUAGAUCAUUCUCGAAGAUGAUCACACUUUAGAAUGCGAUAGUCCGCGAAAACAUGACAAUACAAGCGCUCGGACUAUUCUUUUGGCUUUGUGAAAUAAUCAAUUAUGAGGAUGUCCUUUAUGCUGCAUGAGGAGAAAAACCAACUCCUGUAACUUGAUGCCGUUACCCUUAACAGUAUCCUCUAAAACGUAACAAGAUUUAGCCAUUCCCCAAGAUUUUGAGGAUUCAUUUCUUACGAUCUAUGAGAUAUAACCCAAGCAUGUCUAGAUGUGAUUAAUUUUUCUCCUGGCUAGACUCGAUUCAAAUCAUCUGUGAAGUACUUAUCAUUCGAGAAGAAGUAUUUACCAUCACGAAGGGCAUGCGCACAAGGGGUCAUCUCCUUGUCUUUGUCCUCUCAUUACACGAUCAAAUUCAACAGCUUCACGUGAAACCAUAUAAGAUAAGAAUCUUUGAUUUCGAGACAUGGUCGAAACUUGACGUAAAUCCUGCUACACAGAUUGCUCCUCAACCAGAGGAAAUUUAAAAUGAAAAAUUAUAAUAUUAAAAUAGAGACGAUCCGAUAAAAUACCAUAUUAAAACCAAACUUAACAUCAUUCUCAUUAAGAGAAUACACCCUCACUCAAAAGUCCCGAAGCAUGGUGAUGAGAACAACUGGAUAGGAGGAUAUAAGCACAUAGGAAAAUACCAGAAAGAUUGAAUGAAUCCCAACGAAGGAUGGUCAGACCCAAACUGAUGAUGAGAGGCACUCUGUUGCACUAGUAUGAGCUAUCCAUCCACAAAGCCUGGCCUGACUAGUUGCUUGAACGCCAUGCUGCACUAGUGACGAUCCACAUAGUAUCCAAAGGUAAAACUGAGCCACCCAUGUGGCAGAGAUGGAUCUGUUCAUUCUGAGCAAUAAAGGUAAUCAGAGCCACCUCUUACAUCCUCUGCAUAUGCAUAGCCUCAAGCAAAGCAUGGGGAAAACAACAAAUUAGCACAUUAUUCUUGCAUGGAACAAAUCUGAAGCAUCACUAUUUGGUGGAUUAUUCUCUCCCAUUGUCCUACAGUACAAAGCACCCUUUUCAUGGGCAUUUCGGGAUAGAAGCUACGAAGAAAUAUUGGUUGGAGAUAAUUUGACAGUCAGAAUAUUUUGUCAAAAUUUUAGCUCUCUCUCAUUGAAGCAAAGCACCCUUCACCAGCCUGCUCACAUGAAACUGCUUGCUGUUGCAAGGUCGGCACAAUCCCUAAUGAAAAGGCAGGUAAAUGAGUUCAAAGAGAAUGUAAAGAAGGAGUGCUUAGAGAUUGUUCAGAUGGAAUGGAUGCAUGACGCUCUAUCAACACCUUCACAUAAUAGGCAGAUGACAUUGCAUAAAUUGUUAUUCAAUGGAGACAACCUGCAAUAAAUUAUUCUAAAUCUCAACAGACAGAAUGUGGAAGUAAAGCAAUCUGCUGCAACCAGAAUAGCUUGGCAUGUUGAGGGAGGGCUUGCGAGCUGUUGAAAGAACUUCAUCUGGUCUUGCUGGAAAUAGUUCCAGGAUAAUGUCAAAAAUUCCUCCUGAGUUCCAUGGGCAUUUAACUAGGAGACGGCAAUUGUGGUGGGAUGCAAGGGAGAAAGCAUCUGAAAUAAUCAGAAUUUGCAUGUCUAUACUGGAAUUGGAAGCAAACUAAUCCAGGUUAACUUACAAAGAUAACAGUUUCGCGACUGACUGCGGUCUCUCAUAGCCAUCCUCCUUUUGUUCAGGCUUCUCUUUAGGCUUUCAUUUUCCUGCCUGCCUUGAUUCUGGUUUCCAGUUAGCGACUUUCAAAGAAUGACCCGAUAACUCAGCAAUGCCUGUCGCCAUAGUUUCUGCCUUCUUAAUAUAUGGAAAAGUUUACUCCUCAAAGAAGUGAGACAACCACAGAUACAUAGACAGCACCUGAUGUUUGGUCUCCAGAUCCAAAAGCUCAGCAUCAUUUCGAGCAGAGCCCUUAGGCAGGCCCACUGCUAUAUUAAUUGGAUUACAAUUGGUGCAAAACAGAAGUUUUGACUGUAAGCUGUGGCAAACCUCAGAAGACGAUACAUUGAUUUUGGGUCUCUGACAUUAAUUGGUGCAGAACAAAUUUUGAAGCGAUCUUCAAGAGAUAGCCCUGGGACCUUCUCCAACAUGUCUACCACCCUCUUAAUAUGGUCGUGCCGACACAAGAAGUAUGAGCUAACAAGACGGCAAUUUUCACCAAAUUUCUAGAGUAGCUUGCAGAACGUAACAUUGGGAAGUUGGCAAGCAAAGAGCUCAACCUGCUCAAAGAAAGGAAAGAGACCCACCUUCUUAACUUCUUCAAAUGGCUGCUUCAAACACUCAAUGAGGUACUCUAAAUCAUUAAGCUCAAAGGUAGUUGUAAGCCCAUCAGGAUAUCAGCUUCCUCUUCUACCAGCUCUUCCGGCAAUCUGCUUCACCUGUGAAGCGGGAACUGGCACCAUCUUAUCACCGUUGUACUUCGAGAGAGUGGAAAACACAACCCUUCUGAUAUUCAGAUUGAGAUCCAUCCCCACUGCAUCACUUGGAACCAAGACAUCAUUCUCAUUGUCUUGAUCAUUAAACAAGUUAGCUUGCUGUCUUCGAGUCUCAGGUGGCAAGGCACCGUAUAUAGCACAGCAGCGGUGAUUGGUGUGCUUCUCAAUUGCCAAUUUAACCUCACAUAUUUCUCUCAAAGAAAAGGCAACUACACAAUCACCGGAUCGAACAUUGCGAAGAUCCCCGAGCAGCGUCUUGGCUUCGACAACCAGUGGCUUGAAUCUGUCGUAGUGGCAUUCGUGCAACUCAUCCCCAGUAUCAGAACAGAUUUUCCUCACCAUAUUCAGAACACUUGGAUCCCCACAAACAUGUAUCUCAUCGACCUUAAGUCCUAGCAAUGCUCUCGUCCAUGUAUAGCCUCUGUAUGGGUCUGCCAUCAUCUGGAUCUCAUAAAUUAUGGCCACAUCACAUAAGUGAUCGGUCAACGCCAGUCCACAGUAAAGCAACAUGGGUCGAGAAAGGGACAUUCUUCUUUUCCUGCUCAGUGUGAAGACUAAACUCCCAAAGCACUCACCUUGUCAACCACUUCCUUAGCCAAUAACCUAAGCGGACUACGAUAAGAUUGUUUAAAUGAAGAAACUAACAAAAAUAUUGUAUGUUACUUUACUUGUAGGAUUAGACAAUGUGUGAAAUUUAGGGGCUUGGGCCCCUUUUGUUAUAAAAAGAAAAGGGUGCUCCUGAAGCUAAAAAUACAGUUCAUGGGCAGCGACGGCUAUUAAAAUUUUGAAGUCCAAGGAUGUUUCUUAUAUCUGUGAAAAAAACCUCAAGCUCCUGAGCUUGAAGCACGACUUUCAAAUGCAGUUAUGGCUGCCAUCUUCAAUCGUGAAUCCUUCCCAUUAGGCGGCUCUUCCUACAUAGAGAUUGUUGCCAAAUGAUGAAAUGUCAUGAAAUAUCAGUGAGAUAAUGCAUGCCGACGUACAGAAGAACGUUAUGGCAAAGACGCAACUCUAUUAUGUCCUGAGACAUUCUAAAACAUUAGAGUAAAAUCUCUUAAUGUUUUGGGAACAACUGUUUCGAGAGCAGACAUUUGCCUGUACUUGAGAAACUUUUGCAUUAGUAUAGAGGUGAUGCAUGAAUAUGUCACACCCAUGUUUUAGUGACUGAUUGUUGACUGGCGGUGAUCGAGGGUACGGAGGAAAAGGAGGAAAAAACAACGAUCAGCCAUGUUGGGCCGAGCGGUGCAGAGGAACUUUAUUUGCAGGUUAAUGAACCUUUUAAAUGCAGUCAUUAUAAGAAUACGGAGCCAUAUAUCCCAUCAGAUGCUUGUAUAUAAUUUCUAUUGCUAAAAUAGGUGCAAGAAUCCUCCAAAAUGAAGCCACAAUAGGCAGGUACAAUAGCAUCAUCACCUGGCAUGGAACAAAGAAAAUUCCAGCAUUAUACAUCACUGUGUUCCUAACCGUAAUUAGAUUUCUCAGGAAAAACAACGCAAUAUAACAGGCAUACAAAGUCAGGUGAGUUUGUCUCUUUUCGUAUGUAAGUUCCAUUCAGUGAAGCCUCUUGAAAUUAACACAUUGAAAGAUUUGUAGAGACAGCGGAGUAAAGAGUCGAACAUGCUAGCAUAAUAAAAGCUAUAUUCAGCCAUCUCACUUUACCUAGACCUAUAACUAAGCAAACGGUUUGUCUCAACCAGACAUCAGACUAUCUUUCACCAGCCACUGGCCGAACAAAAAAUGAAGCACGAAAUAUGAAAAAGAAAGAAAGUACCCCUUUCCAAAAGGAACAAAGGAAGCACAUGGGAAAGUUCUAGACCAUCCAUUAUAUGUACUCAAUGAUAAUUAUUGUAAGAACCUUCCUAUAGCCCCAUAUAUGAAGUGGAAGCAGGAUAUACUCAAAUAGAUGUAUUCCCUCUUUCGAUUAGUGGAGCACAGAAUCAGGUUCUGUUUCAUAUAGAACAUAUCAUAAUCCGAACUUGGGAUAUCAACAUUAUUAAGCCAAUUUCAAAUCAUAGAACUAACAUAUGCUCAAGAAACCUUUAUACUCAGCUGUACUCUCCCAAACAGCUGAUUAUCUCAAAACGAGGGGCAGCGUAGGAAAAGGAAUUUGCACGACCACUGGAACAAAAUCUAAAUGCAUUUCAACCUUAAAAUUUAACCCAUAUUGACAAAAUUGAAAUGGUACUUGUGAAGGUUGAGAUAAUAGUUACCUCAGGAUAUCCAAAGCUGAUCACAGAACAUAAAUGGAUGCUCUAGACAGUAGCCUGCAGAUAUGUGCAAGAUAGAAUUAGCACCUACCGUUCCCAUCCUUUUUACCAAAACAAUAUAUUCAAAUAAAUUAAGUAAAAAAGUACAUGCAAGAGUUAAAGUAGGUCAACCACUAUUACCCUUUGAUCAAAAAAAAGAAAAAAACACUAUUUGCCUAAUUACCCAAGGAGGAGGGUGGAGAAAGCAGCUUAGCCUGACGUUGCAACCAUGAGAUGCCACUUAUGGCAGAAUAACUAUUAUGUUCAUUCUAUUGGCAAUGAUUUUAAUACAAGGCCUUCGUAAACUGUCGAAGCAACUGAAACUGGCUGUGCCAUCAGCUUUCAAUUUGACAAGUGGUAAAUGGAGAAGUUAAUAAAUGUGAGCACCCAAACCCCCCACCCCCACACCCCAAAAAAAAAAAAAACACUUUAUCCCGUCGCUUUCUAAACAUUAAUCUGAUUCUUUAUACAACGGGUUAAUGGUGCUAAAAUGCAUUUUUCUGUUAGUGUUCUGCUAUGAUUUCAGCAUUUAAAUAUAGAAUGCAGACCUCCAAAUUCACCAUUCAUAGCACUAGGUAACCUCCUUGCUCAGCUGCCCUUGGAAGACAACCUUUACUUGUGGUACUUAAAAUACUGCGUAGGGCCAGUCUAGAAAAAAAGUACAGCUGUACAAAGGCUCAAGCUAUCUCCAGAGCUACAAAUGAUGCAGCCAUGGCUUCAGAAAUCGAACAUCUUAAAAUGAGUUAACACACUUUGGGAUAAGUUGGCAUGUUGACCAUACUUCAUAAGCCGUCCUCACUCUAUCUCCUAUAAAUGUGAAUUCCUAUCUAAGGGAGAGUGAACAAUCGGUAGAAGCCCUAAAGCACUCCACACACCUCUUUGUAAAUCCCAAUACUUGUGGUUUUAGUUCCUCUCAAGGAAGGAUUUCUACCCACAGAGUUUACUCAAACUAUCUGAUAGAAAAGUCUCUCUCCCCACCUCUCGUAUUGCACAAAAGUCUUCUAGAAAGCUCAUUAUUGGGUUGUGAAGAGUCAUUAUGUUUAAUCUUUUACUUCUUUCAUUCUGCUAUAAACCUAAAAAAUCUGGAAGCUGCAUCUUCAUAAGAUGAAAAUAGCUUCUAUCAAGAAUCUAGAAUAUAACCAAUUGGCAUCCUCUGCAAAGAAUGAAAAACCAGCACUUGAUUGAUCAACCAAUCAAGUGUUUCUUGAUCUUUUAUUCGUACCAAGCACCAAAAAAUGCCACAUGUUUUACAUUGCAUCCAUUUCAACUAAAAGGGUAAUGUACAAUAUGACAGAAAUUUUUUUGGAAAUUCUCUAUCAAUGCAUGAAUUACUUCUAUUCAAAACAAUGAUGGAGCUGGAAAAGCUUUAAAGUCAGAGAGAGAGAGAGAGAGACUGGGUGAGGGACCAGAAACAGGAAUUGGGAAUAAGAGGCAGAGCAACUGCAAUUUUACUCCUGAUGUUAAAUGAGGGUAUACUAGUCGUAAGACAUAAAUAGAGCCAAUUUGGAUGUGGAAAUAGAAGCCUUGCAUACUUAGACCAAUGUACACAUAAGUAUGUACAAGCUACAUCAUUAUGCUAGAUGAUCUCAUUAGAUUUUGUUUCCAAGUACUGGUUCUCCAAAAGGUACUACAAGGAUGAGUCAGAAGCAAAACCACAUUUAAUAAACAUAUAGCAUCACAUCGACUUGUGAAGAUGAUACAGCCCAACUGAUAACCUUAAUUUGUUCCUUUGAAUUAAGAUAACACAACUUUGCCACUUUACCUUCUCUGAGUUUGAGGUGAAAAUUACUUUGACAGCCUCAAAGACCUCUUCAACAGACUUUCCAGUAUCGAUCUGAAUGAAAGUCAAAAGAGAUAAGCAAUCAAAUGAAAUAACAUCAUGCAAAUACACCUACAGAAGAUUCAACACAUUCAGAGAUUUCCUCACCUUUCUAACUUUUUCCUUCGAAUUGUAGUACUCGACAACCGGGAGGCUAGACUCCAAGAACACCUUAAACCUUUUCCUUAUUGUUUCUAUGUUGUCAUCUUCUCUUCCCUUCAAAACCGGUAACAAAUAGUGGAAAAGCAUCAGAUUUCUAAAAUGACUACAUGAGCUGGAAAGGUGACAAAAGCAAAAAGUCUACUUGUACGGUAAAGGUGGUAAAGAAGUAAUUGCCUGACCUGAUUCCUAUUCAACAAGCGCCUUUCCAUCUCUUCCUCAGAACAAUAAAAAAACAACACGAAUUCUGGCUCAAUUUUUGUCUGCAAAAAUCUUACUGGUUAUCUCUCUUGGAAGGAAGAUCAACAUGCAAUAGCUAAUAGGCUCACAUUUGAAAUGUGAGGGAUAAUACUAGAUUAGUUCUAAGAUUAAAGCAGCGCAAUUCAAACAAAAAUAGGUAUAGCCAAGCUUACAACAGCUUCAAAUGCGGCACGAUUUUCCUCAUUGCGAGGGAAACCAUCAAUAAGGAACUUAUCAUUUCCACUUUCCUGCAUUGCUUUCUGCAGGAGCUUGAUUGUCACUUCUGAAGGCACUAUCUUUCCCUCCUUAAUCAUAUUCUGGAUCAUAGUUCUGCCAAUUGAAAUAGGAAAUUUGGUUGGUCAUUGGGCUUUCAAAGAGAAUUCAAUUGGAAAAGAACCUAAAAAGACAUGGCUCCUACGAUGUGCAUUCAUUCAUCUCAUCCGCCAUGUAACGAUUCAUGAAACGUUAUCUCAGUGGAAACAAAGGCAAAAAAAAUGUGAAAUGACCAAGAAAUCCUGUUUAAGUGAGCAUUAAAAAUAAUUACAAAAGAAAGAGAAAUAGCAUCAUGUAAAAAACUUCACUUGAACAUGCCUGGACUUACAUAAUUUGGUUUAGUCAAAAAAGGAUCCUACCACAUGGAAAAUAGAGAAUGCACAUAUUUCUAGCGAAACGUGCAAGUGCAGAUACUAUCUAUACUAGCUUUCUAAAAUAAUAGAAUAUCAAUGACAGCGGCAUUGUUACCCAUUUUCAGAACCAGAUUUGAUUUCUGCUCGAAGAAGAUCACCAGCACUAAGAUGGGUGAAGCCAAAGUGCUGAACAAUAUUGGCACAUUGCGUGCCCUUUCCACUGCCAGGUCCACCUACAAAUUAAAGAAAGCUAAAUUAAAAAGGAUGAAAGAGCCUCCACCUUUUGGCAAAGAACUUCGAAGUCUUCUGAAGCAAUAAAAUAAAAAACUCCUUCCAAUAAGUUCAAAGAAUUUUAAAACCCAUAUCAAAAUCUGUAGAAGCAAAAUUCGAUGUGUAUACAUUGAAUCAUACACUCCACAUUUAAAUUUCCGGCCAUUAAGAAGGCAACUCUAAUAUUCUCCAUCCAAAAGACAAACAUGAACCCCAGUUUACUGUGAGUGUAAGCAAAAAUUAUUAAACGUGCAUAAUAGCAAACGGUCACAUAUUAUGCCCCUUAGUAAUAACGUAUGAUGCAUUUUAAAUCAAUCUUUUGUAUUUAGAUUAACAUUAUGGAGCUACUGAAUGCUCAUUCUGUUUUGAAGGAAGGGAAUAUAUUGAAAUAAAAGAAAAUAGAAAGAUAAUGCUGAAAAAAGGGGGGAAGAAAUAAAAUAAAGUUUAAAAAGAAAAAAAAAUUGAGUAAAAAAGUUGAAUUUCGUCCGACAAAAAAGAAAAAAUCUCACCUAACUCUAAAUCAAGCACCAAACAUUUGAUCCAAAGGGGAAGGAUCAAAACUUCAAACGAAAGACAAGCAAUAGUGAAAAUUUGAAACACGAUGCAUCCCUCAAGCAACUUUGCUGAAAGAUCUGAAUGAAUCUACUUUCUGCUACUUAACAAAAUCAACUAAUAGAACAAUAGUAUCACAGAAUCUAAUAGAAGCUAACUCAGAUGGAAUUAAUUAUUAUUAGAAAGACCAUACUGAUGAAAUAAAGAACCCUGUUAUCCUAGAGUAAGUUGCAGAAACUUAAAAGUAGAUGCUCACCCAAAACAAAAACAACUGUGGGCUUCUUCUCUGUCAAGCUUCCCUCCUGUAAGCAGGCAGUUUUUCAUGUCAGCAUUACGCAUCAGCAAGUUGGAAGAAUAUGUCAAAAGCAUUCCAGUUAUUCUUCAUAUCAACAAAUUCCUCUGAGUAUAUUCUCAUAGCAAGUUGUCAAGUCACUUUGAUACCAUGGAUGUCACACAAACCUUAAAUUAACGAAAGCGAGAGCGCACCCCACCCUCCCCACACCCAUAAACAUACACAGACACAUACACAUAUGUGCACACGCACAUGCAGAGAGAGGGGUGGGAUAGAAUCAAAGGUUUUCUGGAACAUGAUCAGCAAGACAGGACAGUUACUCACCUAGACUAAGAUAAUGUAUGAUGAGAAACCAAUCAAGCAUUUUAUUCUAAAGUUGUUUUCACUUGGAGACUUGAUCUAGCCAUUCAAAUGCAUCUUAUCUCAUCCAUGUAUACUUAGUGCAUUUUAUCAGACUUACAGUUUGAGGUAGUUUGAGGUCCAUUGUGCCGAACCUGAUCCCUUAUUAUCACCUCAGCAGGGUAUCAAGAUACUAUUGAUAUGCCCCAAAUCUCAACAAUAAAAGGAACUUCUUAAUUCUUACUAAAUAUUUGAGUGUGAACGAAAUUCAAAGAUGAACAUGUAGAUGCAGAAACAACUGAGAUUGAGAAGUCUACCACUCUAGAUUGGAAGAAUGAAUAACAUAUGAGGGCAGAUCAGGCAGUACGUCAUGGCUACAGUUUAGUACUGACAUUCAAAACAGAACACAAGUAACCAAAAGAAAGCUCUACUAGAAAAGAAAUCAGAUGCUUGCCUCAAUUGCAACAUCAAUAACACUUCCCAUGAGAGCCAGCUAAAGAAUACUGGACCGCAAGAUCUGGAUCACCAAGAAAAAUAAUUGUAUUAGGACAGCUAAAUUCAUGCUGUCAAUUCCUGGUAAGGCUGCCAAGUAGAGGCCAUGUUAAGAUCCAAACACGGCAACUAAUUAACGGAUGAAUCAAUGACAAUGAUCUAAGAAUUUUUCAUUCAUUUGAUCGAUUAGAUGAUUAUGAUCACGAACUUUUUAUACAUAUUCAAACUAAGUAAUAAAUUCUAAGAAAAAUUUUCACGUUCUUUUUUCUGUUAAAAGUUAGAGAUAAAAUCGUACAUUUUUAUAUAAUUCAAUGACUAAUAUGAACAUAUAUCAAAAGUUCAAGAACCUCGAUUAUCGAUCACAUCAUCAACGGGCCCUGAUUGGGCUUCAGAGUUUGAUGGUAUAUGUUUUCGGAUCAUCACUGCCUCCAAAAAGUCGUAGAUAAGAAGAAAUCAAUGGCCAGAAAAGAAAAAAAAAUAAACCUAAAGAAGAAAAAUAAACCAGAACCAGAAGCAAAAGCUAGAGAUGAUGGAGUGUCGAUCAGAGACGGUCGUCUCAGAUGGUACGGACAAUCUUUCGCAUCACAGGCCCACGCCGCUCGAGCGAGAUGCUACCGCCACCUAAAGCGCUACGGGAAAGGUGGGGAAAGAAGCAAAGCAAUCUGAACUCGAAGCUGAUGACCCGAGCGGACGACGGAAGAUCUGAGAAUUCUGCAAUCGACGACGACGAGAUCCGGAGGAUGGAUUACGUCUGAACCAUUCAGAGUGUGACACCUCUCCUCGGGACCCGCCACUUCUGCUUUCUUUUCUCUCCCCCGUCAUUCCAAUUCAAACCAACGCUCGGGCGGGUGGGCAGGCAUUUUAUGUUUGCAUCUUUGUUUUGGGGGAGAAAGCUGGCCUAAAUCUGCGACCAGAAGUUCACUGGUUUAUUGCUUUUGAUCCUAAGCGCAGCAACGCGAGAAAGCUUAGGCGAACCAUUGAUGAACAGUGAUUUAAUUUGCUUGCUGUCCGACCAUUGUUUCGUGCAGAUACUUGAGCAAUUGGCAGAUCUCAAGUCUCCUUGGAACUGCCCCGAUAGAAGGCCGGUCAUGCAUCGUUUGGUCAACUUGACGGCAAUAAGCAAAAGGUAAGACAAGGACUCUGCUUAGUUAUGAUGAUUCAUGACUUGAUGCUGCCGUCAAGUGCAUCAUUUGCUGCAAUGUUGUUCUUACAUAAGCGAACAUUUUACAGAUGCUGGUCUCACCAGUCUAAGGAUGGCAGCAUAUAUCUGAGAUGUCGCUCAAUUCUUUGCCUCUACAUGCCUAGACUCUUUCAAUUAUUUACUUGAAUUUUAACAAUACUAAGCGGCCAAUUUUUUCAAUAAUCCAAUGGCUAAUUGAGUCUACUACCUAUAGCAAUGUAAGGGUGUUAUAUUGAUAUUUUGUCCUUCAUAAAUAAUUGUUAAUCUAGCUUUGUCGACUGACAUAAUCUGGUGAUACUAGACAUGUUCAAUAGCUCUUUUGUCCAUCUCAUGCGUUGAUUACGGGGUGAAUUUUGUUUUAGUUUUUACAUUUGCCGUCUUUAUGGUGCUAAUUGUUUGUAGGGAGAGUUAUGAUAUCUGGAAAGUUGGAUUUCAUGCUUUUUGAUUGUUGUAAAGAUGAUUAACUUUCUUCUUACUGAAUAAUGAGUCUAAAGGCUCUAAAAUUAUGUUCUAUCCAUCUGAGAUGGAAAGAUUUAGCUGUUAUUUUGUUAUGGUUAGGCUUUCUGGCCAUUAACUCUUAGUGGUUGUGGAGUGCAGGUGGAGACUUGUAGAGAUAGAUGCUGACUUAUCAAACUUGAGCUCAGAAACGAAGCACGUUAUGUCUCUUAUUCAUCCUGCUAAUACUUACAUGGUACUGUUGUUAGACAGUUCUUAUAGCGUCUUUCUAUUAAAAUGUGAAGGAUGUGUUUAUCACAUGAUGUCGACAUUAUACAUAUUCUCAUUUGUGAACAUAUUCUUACUCGGUACUGUUGUUAGACAGUUCUUAUAGUGGGAUUCGUCUCUUCCGGUUGCUGAUCUCUUUUUUUGGGUGUCUCGGUCGAGAGGAUUCUCGAGGGAGAGCUGAGCAGGGGGAAAAAUGAGAAAAUAUUGGGUCGAGAGGAUUCUUGGGGGAGAGCUAAGCAGGGGGAAUCUCAAAAGGACUUCGUACCCCAGCAAGAGCCCAAAAAUUUAUCACGAUUAUGUACUCGAGUCCUAAGAUUUUCGUCUCAUCCGUUCUUAAGCUUCGUUAUUUUGAAAGAAACAGAAUCAUCCUCGUGAUAUUUGGGAAGAUAUAUUGACUAUCAAGCCAUGACUUUCAAAGAGCGCGAAAUUAUUCACAAUAAUUCAAGUACACAGUCGUCCAUUGCCAUCGCUUGCAGCACGUUCAAUUCGAAGACCAUCUCUUCCAGUCUCCUUCCCAACUACAUCAAACAGUAGGGGAACCGGAACACUGCAUUGACCUGAUAAUGUCUCCACUAACUACAUUAGAUAUGCUCUGCAACAGUAUCUCGUGUGUUUUAUGAAUUUGACCACGUGUUCCUCAGCAUUUUCCCGAAAUGCAGCACAGAAACAUUUAUAUAACAAAGGAAAAAAAAAUGUACUUUUAAACCAGACAUUCAACAGUAAUAUAAGAUUUGAUGACACUCACCAAUUCCAGUGGAUAGCCGUGAUGAAAGCCACCUGGAGAAAAACUCCAAUCUCAUAUGUAUGAAACUGUUCAUGGAUGCAGAUUUUAUAUUCUCAACAUGCAGGCAAUUCCAACACUUCCAUUUGCUGCAAACGCACAAAGCCUUAGUACCAGAAUCAUGUGUUAAGCUUUCGCAAUGCGAAAGCCCCUCUGUCUUAUCUGAAUUGUCAUUGCAACCAGAUACAUGCCUUUCUACCCGUCUUAUAUUCCACCUUACCAGUGAGUCUUUCCUUUGUGGGAACGCAUCUUCCCUUCUGCUGAUUAGAUGAAGAGUGGAGCGAAGCAAUAAUUGUCCUACUAUCAUCUCUCUUGUCAAUAGGUCUUUGGACCAUUAGGCUAUCGCUAUUUCCUUGGUGUAGAGAAACUGACAGGAAUUCUCAAUCCAAGAAGAGCAAUUCUGUCUAGUGCUGACUGACAGGGCUCUUCUGCAUGAGAUAGUUUAUCUGCUGAAACAGAGCUGCUGUCAUCAAACUGAGCUCUAACCAAAUCUCCAAGUUGUAAAUCUACAGUAGUUUCAAGCAACAAUCUACAUUUGGAGCAAGAAAAGCUUGCUCCACAGUCCAUCAAAAAUGGUCUCACAGUUUCAAGUCCUUUACUGGCCAUAUCCCAGCAUCAUUUUCGAUGAUAGAUCUUUCUUGUAUAAACACAUAACUAAACGUUAUAUUGGAUGUUACCAUCUUCCUUCAAGCCAAAGCAGAUAUACUCAAGGUAAAGUAGGCCAUUAUGAUAACCUCUGAUAAUGUACCUAAGAUAGAGGACAGUGCCCGCCUGCCAAAACAAAAAGGCUUCCGCUCCAGUUCCAUUCCCAAUAAGUUCAAGGAUAGUGCCCGCCUGCCAAAACACACAAGGCAAAAGAAGGGAUCGGUAAUUUGUAAAGGGUACUUCUACUGGGGCCAAAACUCCAAUGAAAAAGCAUUUGCUAGAUAAUUUUGAAUGUGCAUUCAACAUAUCAAUAUAGGGGACGGAGCUAACUCACCUGUUACUCUCACUGUUACUCUCACUGCCCUUAUUCCUGUAAGUAAACAAUUACCACCUUAUAUUAGCAUAUGGCAGAGUCCAAUUGAUAUCCAUUAUUAGCCAUUUUUAUAUUAUGACAUUGAGGCCUUAAAAAAAUCCUCACAUGCAUAAAAACAGCAAAUGAAUAGUGCAAUUAGAAGGAUCUUCAAAUUAAAAGUUAUUUUCUCGUAACAACUACAGAAUAUCUAUACAUUUGUUCAUAUAGCUUGUAUUUCUUAGUGCAAAUUUAGGAUAGAUGAUUGAGUAGCUCACUUUUUCAUUCGAAGGAAAAACCAACUCCUAAGUCAUGUCAAAUGUUUCUUCCAGCGAAAUACACUUUUGUGUAGUCCAACUCAAAUAUCUCAAGAGCUGCAAAUUCCUGGCACACUAGUGGAUAUAUCAACUGAGAAGGAAAAAACAAUGAAUCAGAUCACUUGUCGAAACUAUGUAGUUCUUUCACCAAUCCUUGUCCAAAUACUGUUCAUAGCCCCAGUGCAUGGAAAAAGGAGACCACAUAUCGCAUCUUCAAAUACCACUAAAGGAGUAAGUUCCAUUAAAAAUAUAGAAGCUGUUGCAGAGAAUAGUGAUAAUUCACAUGCCUUGGAAUUGUUAAAAAGGCAGCUUGAUCGCAUUGUCAAACGGUCAAACAAACUAGGCUCAAAGGUAUGGAUUUUCUAAAACAUGCAGAUACAGAGAAUGAGCAUUCUCACAUAUCGUUCUCAUUUUCUAUUUAUUUUCUCAUGGACACAGGCAUCUGAGGGCACGCAUGUUUUUAUUUAUGUUCCCGGGAACAGAAAUAAAAUAAUAAUAAAAAAAUGUUUUUGUUCCGGGGAACAAUUUUUGAAUAAAAAAACGCGUUUGGUAAACUUGUUCCGGAAAUAAAAAAUGAACAGAAACACGUUUGAUAAAUUUUAUUCUUUUUUUAUUUCUUUUAAUUUUUUAAUAUUUUUAUUUUAUUUUUCAUUUUUUCAUUUCUUUUUUAUUUUUUCUUUUUUCGGCCGGUCAGUGGUGGUCGGCGACCAGCCGAUGGGGCCGGCAGCCUCGCCCAGCCACGACAAGGCUCGCCGGCCCCCAGCAAGGCCGAGCCUCGUCGUGGCUGGGCGAGCUCGAGCUCGCCCCGAUCCGGCGAGGCCGAGCCUCGCCGGGGGCUGGCAAGGCUCCGGCAAGGUCGUCGACCCUCGAUGGCCGGUCGCCGGCCAUGGCCGAGGCCGGCAACCAACGAAAGAAAAAAGAACAAAAAAAGAAGAAGAAAAGAAGAAGACAAGAAGAAACGUUUCUUCAAAAUUGUUUCUGGAACAAGAAGUAAGUUUUUUUUGUUUCUUUUUUUUGUUCCUAAGAACAAAAAAACAAAAAAGUGUUUCUAAACAUGCAACCCUGAGUGUAGUUUGGGAACUAAAGAAUGCAUACUCAUGCUGAGGGUUGAGUGACGUUGAGAAAGGCGAGUGACACCAAGGGUUGAGUAGCUUCAAGAGAGGAGAGCGGCAUCAAAGGGCGUUGAGUAGUGCCAAGGGUCGAGCAUCGUCAAGGGGCAUUGAGCGAUGCCGAGGGUCGAGUGGCGUCAAGGGGCGUCCAACGGUGCAGAGGGUUGAGCGGCAUCGAAGGGCGUCGAGGGCGACGAGUGUCAAGGGGCAUCAAGGUCAUCGAGGGGCAUCGUCGAGAGGAGUGAGUCGAAUCAUCGGAGAGAGAUUUUAGAGUGACAUGAGGGAGUUGAGGACAGGGCAAACAGGGAAAAAGAAGAAACAUAAAGGGGAAAGGGGAACAAACAAAUUGAAAUCUAGGAUUUUCACAUUUUAGAUUCUAGAAUCCGGUUCUGGUUCCAAUUCCAGUUCCUAUAGGAAUCGGGAACUUGUUCCCAAAAAAAAGGAACUGGGAACCGAAACCUCCCUCUUACCCCUAGUUGGAAUAUACACAUCAUACGCAACGAUGCUAGCACGACACAUGCAUAACACUCUUAGGAGUCCAACGCCUGCUAGAAGAAGUAGAAGUAGGGGAAGGGAACCAACCGCACAAUAUGCCUCUUGUUGUGCGAUUGCAACAUCUAUAGUUUGCAUCGUGCUAGGUUUUGGUUAGUCCAUCUUCUCCUCUCUCUAGCUCUCUAGCAUUGUGUCCAAUAUUUCCAAGCAUUCCAUCAAGUUUUUCCAUAAAAACUAAUCAAUUCCUUGUAAAUCGAUGAUGUUGCCCAAAAAAAAACGAUAACAAUAAUUUGGUUAUAUUUGAGUGCACUUUUUUUUUCUUUUAUUUAUUAGUGAUAAAAAUAAUAAAUCUAUUGCCAAAGGUCCUUUUUUUAUUUGGUAAGAGCCAAAGGUCCUUUUUUAAUGCAUAAAAAACAACCAAAAUUACUUAAUUAUAUAUAACGUCAUCCACUUUUUCCUUCUUUUUUAGCCAAUUUGGGAUAAAUCAUCCUGGAAAAUAGUUCCUGAAAAAUAGUUCACAUAAUAUUUUCUUUUUCAUUUUUAUGUUUUCAAUUUCUUAUAUGUGGCUAAAUUUACUUGGAAUAUUAGUAUAACAAAUAAGAUUUUUGGCAAAAAUUGGAGUGAUGAGUGAGGCAAGCGUAUACAUAAAGCCAGACCUACAGUUGAGCAGUGAGGAUGAUAAUUUAUGGUUGGGAAUAUCUAAACUCUUCUCCCUCUUUGGGUCGGCACUAAUUGGGUCCACCUCCAACAAACUUCCCAGCCGUAUCAAGGUUGUGUUGCCUAUAUCCAUUCACUUUGUGGGCUCCCUUUUCAUGAUCUUUGGGCUAGGCUUUUUCUACUUACUACUGGGCUGCCUUAUCAUCAAUAUCAGGACGGGCUAUACCUUUACUAUAGCUUCUAUCUACAUUAUGGAAAUAUCUCAUACCUUUUACCGUGGCCUACUCACGUCAUUCUUCAAGGUAGUCAUUUCUUUCCUAAUUUUGUAGCAUAUAUUUAUUUUUUAAAAUUUAUCAUUUGUCUAAGUAAAAAUUAAGGUUAGAAAAUUUCAGUUAAAGAAGUUAAUUGUUUUGUAUGCUUGUUUGGGUGUUUCAAAUUUUCAUGAACGAGGGCACCCUCUUGGCCUACGUCUCCCACUAUUUCUUAUCCAAAAUGCGCACGGUCUUACCUGCUCUAUUUGGGAGGAAUCCUCUUUGACUUGAUCGCUUCCAAGGUGCUGGUCAUGCCAUACCAAAAUCUCCACGAUGUCUUGUCAAGCAUGGUCGCGUGAAGGAGGCGAGGGGCAUCCUGGCAUGGAUCUCUGACUCCGAGGAAGAGGCGGCACAUCGGCUGAAUGAGGUCAUUAGCCAGAUCAGUGGGGAGGGCAUGUGGCAGGCUGUCAUCCACCCAACCCAAUCAAUCCUACACAUGAGCAUUUGUGUGUUUGGAAUCUACCUAUUCCAACAAGUUUCUAGAGCUGACACCAUGCUUGUCUACGGCCCUCGCAUUUUUGAGUAGACGAGUAUUGUCAACCAUAAGGAACAACUCCUCCUCAUAACAAUAGACCUUGUGAAGACCAUGUUCACUCUAGUCUAUGCCAUUAGCAUUGAUCGAGUGGAGCGGCGAAGGUUGAUGCUUAUUAGUGUUGGCAAGAUGAUUGUCACUCGCCUCCCUAAGUGUAUCCCUCACUAUCAUCCAACACCAUGAGGAAGUCAAGUAGGCUGGUGCCAUAUGCAUCUUCUCAUUACUGUGCUACACGGCCUCCUUUUCCAUUAGGAUGGGGCCAGUAGCAUUGGUCUACAGUUCAAAGAUCUUUCCAAUGAGGUUGCACGCCCAAGGGUACGGAAUUAGUGUUGUAAUGGGUCAGAUGGUAAGCGGCGCGAUGUCCAUGAGUUUUAUGAUUUUGUAUAGAGUGGUCACCCUAGGAGGUGCCGCCUUCCUAUUCAUGGGGAUGGCUAUCUGAGUCUUUGUCUACAUCUUAAUGUCGAAAACAAAACAAAGGUCACUUAAAGAUAUUACAAUUAUUUGGCUCAUGAACAACAUGGAGCAGCGCGAGGGCCAACCGGGGGCCAAUCAGGGUGCUUGAUAUCAUUUUUAUGAUUCCGAUUCCGAAUUCCGGACAUACUCUAUUUAGUAAUUUUGAAAUCUCAAUUAAAUUUUAGUGAAGUAUGACGAUUUUCAGUUGACACUCUAAUAUUGAACAUCUCAAUUACAUAUUGAUGAAGCUGUAAUCAUCAAAUAUCACAGAUCAAUAUUAUGUUCCAUUACCGUGUAAUUACACGGUAUAACUAAUUGAAUGAACUAAUUACACUCCUAAAAUACGGGAUAAAUUAAAUGAAUUAAUUACACGGUAAUGAAGCAUAAUAUUGACAUGUGAUAUUUGAUGAUUACAGCUUCAUCAACAUGUAAUUGAAAUGUUCAAUAUUAUAGUUUCAAAUGAAAACCGUCAUACUUCACUAAAAUUUAAUUGAGAUUUCAGAAUUACUAAGUAGAGUAUGUCCAGAAUUCAGAAUAGAAUCAUAAAAACGAUAUCAAGCACCCUGGUUGGCCCUCGUGCUGCUCCACGCUGUCUAUGAGCCAAAUAGUAGUGUAAUCUUUUCAAGUGACCUUUAUUUUGUCUCUAGCAUUAAGAUGUAGACAAAGACCCAGGCCAUCAUAGCCAUCCCCAUGAAUAGGAAUGCGACACCCCCUAAGGUGAUCGCUCUAUACAGAAUCAUAAAACUCAUGAACAUCGCGCCGCUUACCACCUGGCUCACUGCAACGCCAAUUGUGCACCCCUAGGCACAUAACCUCAUCGGAAAGAUCUAUAAGCUAUAGACCAAUGCUACCGGCCUUAUCCCAAUGAAAAACGAGGCUGUGUAGCACAGCAAUGAAAAGACGCAUAUGGCACUAGCCCACUUGACCUCCUCAUGGUGGUGGAUGAUAUUGAGGGAUACACCUAGGGAGGCGAGUGACAAAAUUAUCCCGUCGACGCUAAUGAGCAUCAACCUCACUACCCCACUAUAUCAAUGCUAAUGGCACAGACUACGGUGAACAAUGUCUUCACAAGGUCCACUGCUAUGAGGAGGAGAAGCUGUUCCCUAUGGUUGACAAUGUUCGUCUGCUAAAAAAUGCGAGGGCCGUAGACAAGCAUGGUGUCAGCUCCAGAAGCUUGUUGGAACAAGUAGAUUCCAAACACACAAAUGCUCAUGUGUAUGAUUGAUUGGAUUGAGUGGAUGACAACUUGCCACACACCUUCCCCACUAGUCUGGCUAAUGACCUCAUCCAGUCGACAUGCCGCCUCCUCUUGGAGUAGAGAUCCAUGCCAAGAUGCCCCUCACCUCCUCCACACGACCAUGCUUGACAAGCCACCGAGGAGAUUCUAGCAUGACCAGAACCCCAAAAGUGACCAAGCCAAAAGGACUUCUUCCCAAAUAGAACAUGUAAGAUCGUACGAAUUUGGUGCACAUCCUAGAUAAGAAAUAGUGGGAGAAAAAGGAUUUCAAGCUACGAAAGCACAUCAAGUUAGGAACUCUAGGCUACGAGAGCACGCUGUGUCAAUUAAGAGACAUCGGGCUAUGAAAGUACGCCGAGUCAAUGAAAAGGACUCUGGGUUACGGAAGCACGCCAGGUCAAGAACUCUGGAUUACGAGAGCACGUCGUGUCAAUUAAGAGAAUUAGAUAUCGGACUAUGAAAGUACGCCAAUUUGAUAGAGAAGACUAGCCUACAAAAGCACGCCAUGUCAAUGAAAAGAACUCUAGGCUAUGGAAGCACGCUAAAUCUCAAGGUUUCAAGGAGCAACUUGAACGUCAAGUAUUAUUCGGUCUUCAAGGAAAUAUUAUCUGUCAGACAUUAUUAGAGCAAAAACUGGUAUGCAUUCACCAAAGAGGUAGACAAUAUGAGCUACUUUAAAAUGCACAAUUCAAUGAAGUUUUUAUCAGUUCAAUCAAGGUUUAUGCAUAAUGACUUUAUCAUAUUUGCAUCACCCAAAUUUCCACAGGAGAGAAUUGUCAUUCAAAACAAUGGCAUGGAUUUCCUAAGAAUACUAAAUGAGAGACUUUCAGUUAGAAAAGACUUUCACUCACUCUUAUUUAGAAUGGCUAUUUUAGGAGAAUCACUCCGAUCUCAUUAUCAUCAUACCAACAAGGGUUCGAGUAUCAUCGCAAGCAGUACGACCUUACCAAUCUAAGAGGUCUUUAAUUGGGACUAUAAUGUGGGCUUAGUCAAUGGCUUAACAUAGAGACUCUUUGAAUUAAGGCAAUUGAAAGAACAAUUCUAUAAUUAUCUCUGGGUUUACAACUCAAGAACUCUGCAAAAUGAGAAAAAAAUAAUCUUGUUCGCACUUUUUCGAGCGAUGCUUAAAACAUAUGAACCCCUACAUUAAUUCAAGUGCCAUAAUUAAAAGAGAUUUUGCAAGGGACGUAACGUAGACGAGGUUCAUGGGUUGAGAAAUGAAAUGAUUAUUAGGCUCAAAAAAGUGUAUAAGGAUCAAAGUUGAUGAUCAUCUAGGCAUUGUCACAGGUCUUGUCCUUCACCAGGGAUUGUCAUUAUGAAAAAAUUAAUUUUGAUCCAAAGAUGACCGGAGUUUGAUAGUUUUGAUCAAGAAAAUAUUUUCCUUAAUCAAUACGUCUAAUCAUUGACUAGGUUUUUCUAUUAUUAUUUUAUUUUAUGUAUACAUGUCUUUGGAGGGAAUAAAUAGAUGCACAAGCUCCUUUUCCAAAUUGAUGAAAAUUGCAUGCAAGUUAGAUGAAUUAAAUUUUGUUGAGGUUUUCCUCAAUGGCUAAUGAAUUAUGAAACAUUUUAUUAUUAUUAUUAUUAUUUGCAAUCUCAAGAUAUUUUCUGCUGCUUUUUUUUAGUGUAAUUAAUAUUUCAAAAAGAUAAAUUGAAGCGGUGAGCUUUUAUUCACCAAAACACAGUGUGAAAAUAUAAAAAAAGAAAAGAAAAGUAUAAGUAUCUCGGUAUAGGGUGUCUCAUCCUGAAAUAAAGCCUACCAAAACUGGAGUUGCUCGGGGAAUUGCUUUGAAACAAGAAAGAAGAAAGCAUCCUCUUCUUCGAAGAGGAAUCAGAAUGGAAGUAAAAGGAAGAAGAAUAAUGGAAUGAUUCAGAAUCAAGAUGGAAGCUGCAUGAGCUCGAUGGUCAUUUUACAGAGGAAGGAAUUGAGGUGUUAGAUGCAAUAUUGGUCUUUUGUUGAUUUGAUUUUCAUUAUUUUGUUUUGUAAAAUUCAUGAUUAUCGCCUUUUUCUUGAAGUGACUCUCAGUUCAAGCUUGGUAGCUAUGAGAUAAUGGUUUUAUGAGGAGUAGAAAAAUCAUGUCCCCAUUCCCAUUUUCUUGAUUUCCCUCUUUAUAUCACGCUAAAAAGGGCAUGCUGAUGCUUGCCCUUUUCAACAUGAACCUUCUUUUCUUGCCCAUUUUAAAAUAGGGGAACAUAAUUUUGAUCUUAUUUUUAGAAUUGUGAGGAAUUUCUUUUCACUUUAUGGACAAGAGGAAUAGGCUUUAGAGGCAUGGUUAAGGAAAUUUGUGCCCAAGGCCCAGGUUGAGCAUGGUAUCUCAUUAAAAAGAUCAAAAUGUUUGAGAUGCGUUAUCAAUGUCAACAGAUGUCAGGUAUCUACUGCUAUAUUGUGAGAUGGAGAUAAAAGUUCAAAGAGCUAUUUCGAAGAAAAAGAGGCAAAAUGAAAGAAUGGUAUUAAAAAAAGAUUAAAUUUUUUCAAUAAAAUUUGGUUUCUUCUUUUCUUGUCGAUGCUUAUGUGUGCUUGAUGUUUAGCUCAUGGAAAAAUGUAUGAAGUUAUUUUUCAUGCAAAUAGUUACUUUUUUUUUCUAAAUUGACUAGUAAUUAUGAAGAUAGGUCACAUGCACUACAUAAAAGAGAAUGCAAAAAAGAAGUGGAAAGAUUUCAAAAGUUUGAGAAGGUUCAAUUAUGAAGAUAGGUCACAUAGACAACAUAAGGAGCCAUAUUGCCUCCAAAGGUGGUAUCCUAUAAAUCUUUCUUUGAAAUGGUUACAAUCCAAAUACAAACUUCUUAUUGGGAAAGAUAUUGAACCAAUUUAUCCUAAAUGAUUGCAUCCUUUCAGUUUUUUCCUAGAUGUCUACUCUCUCUCUCUCUCUCUCUCUCUCUCUUUUCUUGUUGAUGGGUGAAAAUAUACAGAUCUAUCUUUUUUUAUCUAAUUAGAGACUUUGAGUUUGCUUGUUUUUUCAAGAAUAGUCACAACCUUUUAACUCUUGUUAAAUCUGUAAAAGUUAUAUUUUCCCCCAAAUGUUAUCCAAGGCAUUUUUCACAUGGAUGGUGCUUGUAAAUCAUCCUUAUGUUAAUUCUUUUGUUUGGAUACUCUUUUUAAUCUUCACGCAAAAAUUGAAUAAAUAACCACCACACAAACUUGAAACGUCAUAAAUAUGUGGUUGAAGAUAUAUGGUUGUUGACAUAUAUACACACGUAUAUAGUUAUUGAAUUAAAUUAUAGAUAAAUUAUUUAAGCAUAAAAUUCUAAACAUAUGUUUUCUUACAUGAUUAGUAUAAUGGUGUAAAUACAUCCAUAAUCUUGACAUCAGUAACUUAAAAAAGCUUCUAGCAAAAUGCUAAGAUGCUGCGGAUAGAUGCAAUAAUAUUACAUGAAUACAUGCUCAUUACUAUUUAUGAUAAAGGCUCUUUUCUUUCUUUCUUUUUGGUGAUUAGGUUUAAUUCAACCCUAUCUUUCCAUUAAAUCCUCUUUUUUUCUCAAACUCAAGCUAAAUUAUCUAGAGAUUUUAUGUGCGCAUUACUAUUUAUGAUAAAGUUUGUCUUUUGUGAUUAUUUUUAAUUCAAUCUAUUUGUCCAAUAAAACUUCUUUUUUCGCAAACUUGAGGUAAAUUAUCUAGGAUUUUGGCUAUUAAAGUUUGUCUUUUGUGAUUAUUUUUUUCCGUGUACCCCCUCCUCUCUCAUCAACCUAACCGCCGUUUCUCUCAACUCACAGUCAUGGACAUGUCCGAUUUAGUUUUUCUUUUUCAUUAUUAUGGCUCGUGUAUAAAGUCAUUACUAAAAAAGCAACAUUGUGAACAGCAAGUGAAUGAAUUUAUUUUGCACACGGGUGCAAAUAAAAACCUGAAGGCCAAGACUGAAGCAACAGUCCUUUUUCGCUGAUUCUACCUUACAGCUCAUUUUGGGUUAGGCUAAAAAUUUGGUCUUGCCUAGCUUGGAUUCUUCAAUUAUUUCCUUUAUUGGCUAACUUAACUAAUUGACCACAUUAUUGAAAUGAGCAACAAAAAUCACGGCAUAAACUCGAAAAUGGCCCGAAAUGAGCCAAAAAGUGGAUUACGGUUUAUGAAAAUAGUUGAUACAUAAUAAUUGUUUAACUUAUCAAAGAUAGGAAAGAUUCACAUUUUUAAAACUUUAAAAGCAACACGUGUUGCCCUAAAUUCUUUCAGUACCAGCCUUUUUUUUUCUUUUUCAUUUUUCGGAUCAACCCUGCAAAAUAGCCCUCCAAAAGAUAAGUAAAGUCUAUUUAGCUUAGCCCAAAAUUACAAUCAAACUUACUUCUGAAAUCUGAUUUUUCAGCCAUAGUGAAGGCUAUCCCACCGCUGAAGGGUCGCUUGCCAUUGCAUUGCGGGAGAAGAAGGCCAAGAGGAAGAAGGGGAAAAAGAAAAGAAAAAGAAAAAGAACAAUUAAUUAAAAAGUCAAAAAAAUUAUUUAAAAAUGACCACAUCAGCCUUCACGGGCGAAAACAAGUUGGGGGAUGCCUCUAGUCAUGGUGGAACGUGAGAAGAGGUUGGGGGAUGCCUCUAAUUAUGGUGGACUUAUAUUAUUGUUUGUAGUUUCUUAUAACAAUUUGUUGGUAAGAUUAGUCGUGGUCUUAAAAUUCUUGUGUAAAUUAUUUUAUUAGAGAUCAUCAUUUACCUUCAAAUUAUUUCCAACUAUUCCCUUUGGGUCCCUCUUUAAGCUGUAUCGCUAGGGCAAUUAGAGAAAAAAAACAUUCUUAGUCAAUGAAAAUGAGGAUAUUUUUCCCCAUCAUUCCUCCUACCUCAAGAGAUUCUUCCUUUUUUCUUCUUCCUUUUCUUUUCUUCCUUUUUUUGCCCUCCUUUUGAUUGUUUCACUUUUCAAAAAUGGGUUAAGUUUUAGGUUUGAAAUUGGAGUGCGUUUUGGCAAAGGUGCAUUGGGGAACUAUUGAUUUAUCCCCCCAAAAAAAGAAAAGAGACUGGAAAAAGAAGGAAGGAAGAUAAAAUAGAACGGAUCCAAGAGGAGUAAAUGUGUAAAUCCUUCGUUUCCCCUUGUGUGCGGGGAGGCUUCGAAAUUGGGGGUUGGAUUUAGAUCUGAAUCCAAUCGGAUGUGUUUUUUUUUUUUUUUUGGGAUAGAGUCCCGAUAUGCUGCCUUGAGCAUACAUGAUCGGAUAUGACCAUGGCAAUUCUAAUCCAACCAGUCGAGCUUGCCUGUCCAUUUCGAUUUUAGAAUACACUAGUGUCGCGACCUACCCUCGGGGGGAGGGAACAGGUUUAGGGGUGUUGCCUAAAAGACGAGCCUAAAGCCCAUGAUUGGGCGCGAGUUCUCCCAAGCCCAUACCCCGCGUGACAUUGGAAUAUUCUUAGGGAAUUUUGCACAAAAGGAGUCGCCACUAGCCUAUUGGGGUCGGCUAGAAACCAAGUGAGGCAUGGGAGUGUGCCUCACUUCCUACGCAACCAGAGAAUCUAUAGUUGGGGACUUGAUUACACUAAUUAACCAAUUAAUGCCAUUUCGGUACCUAAUCUUAUUCAUUUUAACAAAAUGAUUUUUGGCAGGCAAUUUAGAUUGAUUUUAUGUUUACCCACUAGCAUGCGAAGUGAUCAUGCGGGUGCGCAGUUAUUAAAAUAACAAUUAGCAACUAAGGAAAACGUUAAAUAAAUUGCACGAGAAAGCAAAGAAUUAAUAUUAUAGAGAUGACAAAUGCUAAUCCUGACUAGACUAAAGAGAAGCCAAACUCCACAUAUCAAUAUUGUGCACUUAAAGACAAUUGUCCCUAAGGACGGUUGAAACCCUAAGGUAAAGCCCCAAAGGCUUAGUCAAUUUUUAAGCACAACUCUAGAAUUAAGAAACUUCCAUUUUUUUUAGAAAGAAACUUAUAAAAUCUUUUUGUAAAAAUUUUCAAAAGAAAAUUGAAUUUCCUGACAUUUUCCAAUUUUUUUAUUUUUUAAAAUUUUUUAAUUAAAAAACUCGGAUUUUCAAUUUUUUUUUUGUUCUUUUUAAUAGUUAAUAUUAUUAUAAUCAGAAAAACGGGUCCGGACCAGUAAACCCAAUCCGGUCCUCUGGCUUGACACAAACUCCGAGUAAAACUAAAAAAGAGGAAAUCGAUUUCUUAAAACCCAUUUUUUGUUUCUUUUGUUUUUUCGUUCUUUAUAUUAAUAUUAAUAUUUUAAUCGAUUUUUUGUCUUUUCCCUAUUUCAUCUUUUUACUACGUCUCUUCUCUGCGGCUCCUCUUCCCGAAGUCUGCUUUUGUGUUUCACUUUUUCUGCAAUUUUCUUUUUCUUUCCUCUUUUUUUUAACUUCAUCCCUUUUGGCCUUCUUCCCCACAAAUUUUCCUCUCCGAACGUCUUCUUUUCCCUUUUGUCUUUUCCCACUUUUACAUUUUUUAUUUUUUCUUUCUACCCAUCUUCUUCUUCUUCGUGCAUUCUCUGCACGCCCAAAAAUGGACGAAACGGACGAAACAAAAAUGUGCGGAACAGCAACAAAACGCAUCUAUCAACGGCGGGCGCGUAUAAUGGACGAGGGUUCAAGAAUAGUCAUGCUAGCUUCACUCAAGCAUUUAUACAAACAGUUCGCGAGCAUUACCAAAUGUUUGGAUUUCCGACUCAACCGAGACUCGAAAUGGGACCAGGGUUCUCGGAAAACGACCAGCAACACACACAGGUUUGGCUAAAGAUUUACAGGCGCCGAAGGAACCAAAGCUCAUGCGAACAGGUCGUCCACGAGCUCUGGUCCGACGCCCUACAAAAACGGAGCAUACAUGAGUAAAGAAGACCUACUUGGUUCAACGAGAAGAGCCGCGACGGACCGCAACUCACGAACGGACCACCGAUGGCGGCCACAACUCCCCUUCGACCUCUCUCUCUUGGAUAUCUCUCCCUUCCCGGUUCUCCGUCUCUUCUCUCUUCCCUCGCCGCUUUUCUUUUUUCCCCCUUGCUUUAGAUCUGGAUUCUAGGGAAGAUGGCGGCGAACGGCGUCGAUUGGGUGGCUCGUUGGCGACGGUGGUGGUGGUCCGGAGAGGCCUGCAACGGUGACGCCUCCUCCCCUCCGUUUCUUCCCCCCUCCUCUCUUCUCUUGGUCCUCUGUGCUGGGUCUCUUCUUUUCCUCUUUUCUGGUUUUUUCUCUCCACGAGCUCCUCUUCAACUCGUUCUUCGGUACUCUUUGUUCUCUCUCGACCCAAAAAAAAAAAACAGCCCCAGAACCCCCCCUCUCUCUCUGUUUCUCUCUGUCUUGGGUCCGUCCCCCCGCUCUCUACUGCCCUCCUUCGGUCUUAUACUUCUGUCCGUUCUUUUUCUGCAGGUAUUCCGAGCGAAGACCUCCUGCCGUGCCAGCUGGUCGAUCGGUCUACUUCCCCGACCCGCGGAUCGCGCCGAACCUUGAUCUUCUUGCUCUCGCUAUGCUGCUGCAACUUCUGCCACUCUGUUUUUUUUUCUUCUUGCAGGUCUUUUCAGCGAAGACCAGCAGGAGGGGGGAAGAAAGCUGGGCACGAGCCGAGCCGAGCCGAGCCGAGGAGAAAGAAGAGGAAGAUGGGCCGUGCGUGGGCCACGCGAGGGAGAAAAGAAGAUGGGCCGCACAAGGGCCUGUGCGUGGGGGAAAAAGUAAGAGAGAAUGGAGUCUCUCGUUUUCGUUUUUUUUUUUUUAAUUACUUAAUUUUUUUGUAUUUUCUUUUGUUUUGUUGUUUUUUUUUUUUAGUGGCUAAUUCCUAAUCUUGUACACAAUUAAGUUUUAAGUAAAAUAGUAAAAUUUAGGUGUCAACAACUGGUUCAAACUUCAAAUGUAAAAUGGGUUAAGUUUUAGGUUUGAAAUUGGAGUGCAUUUUGGCAAAGGUGGAUUGGGGAACUAUUGAUUUAUCCCCAAAAAAAGAAAAGAGACCGGAAAAAGAAGGAAAGAAGAUAAAAUAGAAUGGAUCCAAGAGGAGUAAAUGUGUAAAUCCUUCGUUUCCCUCGGUGUGCGGGGAGGCUUUGAAAUUGGGGUUGGAUUUAGAUCCGGCUCCAAUUGGAUAUGUGUGUUUUUUUUUUUUUGGGAAUUGAGUCCCAAUAUACUACCUUGAGAAUACAUGAUCGAAUAUGACCAUGGCAAUUCUGAUCCAACUAGUCGAGCUUGCCUAUCCAUUUUGAUUUUAGAAUACACUAGUUCAAACUUCAAAUGUACGAGUUGCACCCAGAACGAUUUUGAAAUUGGACUAAACUCCUAUCAAACUUUUAUAGUGUAUGCUGGUUUAUUUCCUAAUAUAUAGAAAGCUUGUCACAAUUUUGUACAAUUAUGGGUGGCUAUUUGAGAUAAAACACGAUUCCGAGGGUCACUUUGAGAAUUCUAUAUCAAUUUGGGGGAUGUUUGAAAUGAGAGAGAGAGAGAUCAUUUGGAUUCUUGUCGGACCAAUUCUUUUUGGUAGCCCAUGACCAUAGCAACUUCUACUUUUGAGAGGGCUUAUUUGGCAAGACAUGUCCAAGAUAGUCUCUUCUGCCAUAUUUCAAAAUCAACCAAACUUAGAGCAACCAUUUCGAUUCAAUUUCUCCUCAUAAAUAGUGACCGUCCAAAUUUUAACAUAUGCCUUUUGGCACAUCCCUUAAAAUAUUUUUUUGUCACUUAACUUGUUGCUCAUAGCUAGACCUAUUAAACGGGUGAGUCAAAUCGGGUUUGGGUCGGGUAAUAAAUGGUCCGAUCCAAAUCGACAUAUUUAACCAAUUUAUUGCGGUGCAAAAUUUUUUACUCAUACCCAAUCUGACCUAUACUUAACAUAUACCUAACCAAUUUAACUAAAUCUAAUAAAGUUUAUUUCAUAUAUAUAUAUAUAUAUAUAUAUAUAUUAAAAAUAGUAUUGCUAAAAUAGUUUUAUACAAUACAAAUUUAAUGAACAAAUUUUAUAAUUUUUAAAAUAACUAUUUUUUUUAAAUGAAUUUUAAUUUUUAAAAUUAAAUUUUUAUUUUUAUUUUUUAAUAAUAUAAUUUUUUUUCCUUUUUUGUUCUUCUUCUUCUUUGGCCAGCCAUCGGCCACGACGACAGCCAAUGACUGGCCACAAGCGAGCCUCGAGCUUGCUUAGCUCGCCAACGUUGGCGAGCUCAAGGCUCGCCAAAUCAGCGAGGCUCGAGCCUCACCAAACAUCGGCAAGGCCUCCUGGUGAGCUCAAGCUCGCCCCUUAUCGGAUUUGGCAAGGCUUGAGCCUCACCCGACAUCGGUGAGUUCGAGUCUCGCCAAAUCCGAUGAGCUCGAGGCUCUUUAGAUCGGCGAGCUCGAGCUUGCCCAACGCCAGCAAGGUCGAGGCUUGCCUGGUUAGUUGCCAGCCAUCGCCGUGCCAUCCACCGGAAGGAGGAAGAAGCAAGAAAAAAAAAAAUUAUAAUUUCAAUUUUUAUAAAUCUUUUUUUUCUGUAAAGUUAAAGAGGAAAUAGAGAGAUUGUGAGGUUUUGGUUGAAAAUGGGUUCUACAUCCAACCCAUUUAAGACCCACCUAUCUCAAGUCUUUAAUUGUUAAGUCCAUUUAACUAAUUUCUUCAAAAAAGAAAUGACCCAUUUUGCCGCAUCUACUCAUAGCACGUGCUCGUGAGGCUUAAAGAGUAUGAUUGAGUUAAUCAGAGAGCAUUGAGCUUGAUGUAGGCUUAGGGUGCGUUUGGGAACUACUUUUGGGGAAUGUCUUUAGGAAAAUGCAAAUACUUUGACUUAAAGGUAUUUUUCAAAAUGCAACCGUGUUUGGUAAAUUGCACUUUGAAAGCUCUUUGUAAAGUAUUUUGAGCAAAAUAGUGUUUGGGAAAUUACACUUGCAAAAGAUCUUUGUGGUAAAAAAAAAAAUUAUCAAAAGAAAAAUUAAAAAAAAUUGACCAAAAGGGCAGAGUGGCCACCGGCGACCUCCGGCGACCUCCGGUGACCUCCAGCGACGCCGGAUCUGGGGCAGCGAGGUCGCGCGACCACGCCGCCCUCGGAACUGGGGCGGCGAGGUCACGGGAGGUCGCGCGAUGCCGCCGCGACCCAGAUCCGAGGGCCGCGAGGUCGCGCGACCCAGAUCGGGGGCGGCAAGGUCCUCCCGCGACCCUGCCGCCCCAGAUCUGGGUUGCGGUGACCCAGACCUUGCCGUGGGUCGCGGCGGUCGCGCCACCGCCUAGCGUCGCUCGUCUGGGCGACGGUCACCGGCGACCGCUCGCGGAAGAAGAAGCUCGCAGAAGGAGAAGACCGUCUGCCGCCCCAGAUCUGGGUUUGCGGUGACCUAGCCCUCGGUCGCGCCACCUCCGGCGUCGGUUGCGCCACCUCCGGCGUCGGUCGCGCCACCCCCCGACGAUCGCCGGUGUCCCUCUAGCAGUCGCCGGCCGCUCACAGUCAGCCGGAACCGAACCCCCCCGGAGAAGAUGAACAGUUGCGACACAAGGGCAAGAACCGGAAAAACAAAACAUUCAUGAGGACAAUUUCGGAAAAAAAAAGUUAUGAACAGUGCUCGUGUGGGCAUGCCGAAAAAGCCGAAAGCCCAAGGCAGGUCCCCCCCUGCCUUGGGCUUUCGGCUUCACACAUGCUGGCAUUCCCUGAAUGCGGGCUCAAAAAUUUUUCCCAAACGGCCUAGCAUUUGGCCAAGUACCUUUAGGCUUCAAAGGGGCUUUGGGAAGUGGUUCCCAAACGCACCCUUAGUCUUGGAAGAUCAUAUGAGUUGGCAAGUCGGUGCAUUGGGUCGAUUUGAAUGUAAUUGUGCUCCGACCAAAAAAACAAAAAUGAAAUUGUGCACCUAUUCCUAUUAAACGAAAAUAAUACCAAUGUCUAUAAUGAAAAAAAUGAACUAAGUUGAUGCUAUUAUUAUUUAGGAGUUUCGUAAUAAAUAAUUAACUCGUUAAAAUUUUGGUUUUAAUAACAAUUUCUAAUCAUGAAUCUGCGGUCCUUGCCAAACCUCAGCGAGUUGGAGCAAAAAAAGCCAACUUUCCAAGGGCAUAAAUAGUAUUUGUUAGCAAAAAUUUAUAUUAAAUAAAAAUUAAAAUAAAAGCUUCUAUUCCUAUCUUGUUGGAUAAAAUGAGAAGGGGAAUUCCAUCCAUUAAAUCAAAUUUUCCAAGCGUGAGUGUCAAUUAAGAAAAUCAUUCCUACUUACGUCUUUAAACACGGAUUUUAGGACAUAAUGGAACCUAUUAAAAAAUGUAUGGAGCCUCGAUGGGUAUUACCUUUUUAGUCAUUUAUAUGAAUUUAUUAAUUAAAAAGGAGAUUUUUAAAACUCUGGUCGGAACUGUAAUAUCCACCGACUCCCCUCCCCAGUUACGAAAGUGAAAGGGAGGAAGGAGAAAGUGAGAGAGAGAGAGAGAAGGAGAGAGACAAGGUGUCACUGUCGUGGAGCCCACCCCAUCUGGCGCAACAAACAAGAUUAAACGUCCUGUCUUGUCCUUUGUUCCGGAAAAUCUCGUGUCUGGUCCUUUCUUCCAGACUUUUAUUUUUAUUUAUUUUUUCCGGGACUUCUCGAAGGAUAAACAGUCAAAUUUCCUUGGGCGGAGGNNNNNNNNNNNNNNNNNNNNNNNNNNNNNNNNNNNNNNNNNNNNNNNNNNNNNNNNNNNNNNNNNNNNNNNNNNNNNNNNNNNNNNNNNNNNNNNNNNNNNNNNNNNNNNNNNNNNNNNNNNNNNNNNNNNNNNNNNNNNNNNNNNNNNNNNNNNNNNNNNNNNNNNNNNNNNNNNNNNNNNNNNNNNNNNNNNNNNNNNNNNNNNNNNNNNNNNNNNNNNNNNNNNNNNNNNNNNNNNNNNNNNNNNNNNNNNNNNNNNNNNNNNNNNNNNNNNNNNNNNNNNNNNNNNNNNNNNNNNNNNNNNNNNNNNNNNNNNNNNNNNNNNNNNNNNNNNNNNNNNNNNNNNNNNNNNNNNNNNNNNNNNNNNNNNNNNNNNNNNNNNNNNNNNNNNNNNNNNNNNNNNNNNNNNNNNNNNNNNNNNNNNNNNNNNNNNNNNNNNNNNNNNNNNNNNNNNNNNNNNNNNNNNNNNNNNNNNNNNNNNNNNNNNNNNNNNNNNNNNNNNNNNNNNNNNNNNNNNNNNNNNNNNNNNNNNNNNNNNNNNNNNNNNNNNNNNNNNNNNNNNNNNNNNNNNNNNNNNNNNNNNNNNNNNNNNNNNNNNNNNNNNNNNNNNNNNNNNNNNNNNNNNNNNNNNNNNNNNNNNNNNNNNNNNNNNNNNNNNNNNNNNNNNNNNNNNNNNNNNNNNNNNNNNNNNNNNNNNNNNNNNNNNNNNNNNNNNNNNNNNNNNNNNNNNAUUUGUUCUUAUCUUCCCAUAGAAUUUCAAAUAUCCCUUCUCGCUGCUGCACCGACAAAUUUAAACAAAAAUAUAAUAAUUUUUUUUUAACACAGACUUGUAUAUUUCGAGAAUCUUGUAGGCUUGCUGAGGUUACUUGUUAGCACUUUUGCUUUUUUAGUCUUUUUAUUAGGAUUAAAUGCCAUCAUUAGCUCAGUGUUAUAGCAAUUAGGUUCUGCACAGGAAAUGCAAUAACGUGACCACAUGUUAAUGUAAACACAAAAAUCUACGUGUUAAUUUGAAGAAAUCAUAUUUGCCCUAACCUCUAUCAUAUCUCUCUUGCAAUUUAAUUCAAUACAUUUUUUUUUUGUAACUAUUCAAUUCUGCGAAAAAGUUAGGGAGGAAAUUAAGGGCUGUUAUCACUACUUCAACUAGAUAUAUAAUGCACCGCACACACAUUAAUAUAAAUACAUGAUACAUUAAAAAUCACAAAAAAAUUUCUUAAUUAGAUAUUUAAGAAUUUUUGGAGGUUCAUUCAAGAAAUAAAUUUCAGAGGUAGUUCCGUCCUCCCUCUCUCACGAUACCUAUUUUAUAGAGAAAAUAUUUCACAACCGCCACGUCACCCAUCUACAUGACAUAUACUUAUUUAUGUGGAUUCAUUAAUAAAAUAACACGUGUCAUUUGAAGUUAGAAUAAAAAAAUUAUUAUAUGAACUCAUUUGUCUCUCUCCUCUAGGGCUUGUUGCAGGCGGCGGUAGGCUGAGCGGGAUCAAUGGCUCCUCUGUCUCUCUCUUUCUCUCUGCUCCUCUCUCUCUCUACUCUUAUCCUAUUUAUGAGAUCCAUGAGACCCACUGCUCCAUGGCCACCGUCCAAGUGAACCGGCUGGUGGGCGCGGGGCGCCACCACGUGGCUCUGCUGUCCCCUCGCCAUCGGAAGAGCUUCCACUUCUUAGUCUCGUUCUUUUCUCUCUCCACAAGCCGUGGCAAGGCAAGGAGAACUGCUCAAUUCAAUUCAAAUGAAAAAAAAGAGUAAAAAGAAAAUAAAAAGCAACAAUCACUCGUAUAUAAAAAAGCCAUUAUUUAUUAUUUAUAGAGUAGUAGUUGUGGUCGUGUGGAAAUAUAUUUGGAAGAUGCCACAAUAUACUAGGUGGAGGCGCUUAUCGGGCGGGCUUUGGUGAAAUAUUAGGAUCGCGCACUUUCUUUCAUCCUAAUGCGAACGAAUUCGUGGAUAAGGUGACCACUUCGACCAAAUAUCAUCACUCGAGCCCGCCUAAUAGUGUCUUCAGUCCCUCGUGACUCUGACCAGGUCAGGACAAGCUUGGGGAAUCAGACCUCCAUGAUGCUAUUACAAUGAAAACGCGUGGUUCCAGAUUGUGGCAUACAUAAGUAUUAUUCAUUAAUGUGGUAACAAUUAAAUGUGCUAUUUUCUAUAUAUCAUGUUGAGAAUAAGUAGUAAUCCCAGAAAUGAGGUGAUCAAAUCUAUCAUAUCCUAGCCCCGAGCAUCCGUUGAGAAUGUAGAAAUUGAAUGAUAACAUAAUGGGAAUCACAUUAAACUGAUAAAUAAUAACUAAAACCAGCCACCAAGGUCCAAGAAGCACUCACGAUAAUUACUUUGGCCCAUCGGAGACUUUGGAUUUUGUAUGAUUUUUUUGUAGACUAUGUGUGUGUACAGGUUGGGCAAGCAAAUGAGUGAUUGCUUAUUGUCAGGAUAUAAGGCUCUCAUCCGUCUAUCUCUAAAGUAUUAUUAAUUGAUGCUUAUUUCAACAUUUCAUAUGAAUACAUAUUGGGUCUAACCAAAAAGGGAAAAUAGAAGGAAGAAAAAGAAAAAACUAAAACUUCAGUGGUAUUGUUGCGAUGGAUACCUCAGGCUUUGCAACUAAAAGCACAAGUUUCCCUAAGUAGUUGAUAACCAAAAGGGGUCAAUUAGUUCACACUUUUAACCUAAGAAUUCUCUCCUCCCCAAAUAAAGACGCUCGGAUGCGGAUGGGCCCCACGAGCAGAAAAGAGAGAAGUGGGGCCCAGCUAAAAAUUGGAGAAAUAUACCAAAAAAAAGAGAUUUCCACUUUUUUGAUUUCCACCUUUAUUUUACAUCACACUGGAGAGGAGAGCUGGGCAGGAAUAAUAAAUGGCGGCUGGGGUCUGGUGCUUCUUAAGGUGAAUUGCUGAUUUUUUCUCUUUGCCUCGAGCCGCACGAGCCUAUAUUUUCUGGCCAUUUUAAAUAGGAAAAAACCAUAAAAUUUGAUUUUAUUUUUUGGUAUCAUUAAGGAAUUAUUUUCACUCCGUGAUGGAGAAGAGGACUUAGGCCAUGUUUGGUUUAGCAUUUGGAAUGCUCUUUGGGGCUCUAAAGGGGUUUAGCCAAAUGCUGUGGUGUUUGGUUCAAUUUUUUGAGAACUUUGGGAAGAUGCAAUUGCAUCUCUAAGGGGUUUUAAAGGCUUUUGGGGGAAUGGAGGGGUAGAGAUCCAUUGGGAAAUUGCAUUUUCGGAAGGCAAGUUGUACUGUUCAUCACUGUUCAUGCAACUGGUGGAGAAGACGAUUGGGGGCCGACGACCGCCGACCAAGGGUCGCGCGUGUCGGUGAUCGCCGCCUGAGGGUUGCCCAACCCUGGCAACCUCAGGCGACGGCCGCUUGGGUCGUGCGAUUGCCUGGGGUUGCAACCACCCAGGCGAUCGUCGCCUAGGGUCGCCCACCCUCGGGCGGCCGUCGCUUGGGGUCGCCCGACCCCGGCGCCCGUCAGGGGGCUAGAUCCGGCUAUCCGGUGGUCAGAUUCGGCGGUCUAGCCGCCAGAUCCGGUGGUCUGGUGACUGGACUUCAAAAAAAAAAAUACAAAUAUAUUUUUGCUUGUUUAAUUUAAUAAAAGUCAAUUACAAAUGCAAAUUUUAUAAAACGGUAUUUUGACCAAAGUUGUUUUUUAAUGCAAAUUUUACUAAACGAUAUUUAUAUUUCGGAAAACCCCAUUCACCUAAAGGAAUUUACAUUUUUGCAAAUGCAUUAUUCAAAAGCCGAACCAAACGGGCCCUUAACCCGGUGCAUUUUACUCUUGAAAGACCUAAACUUAUAUAUCGAUAUAUCCUCUAUUCUAGCACCAUUUAAGGGCAUAUUUAUCGCGUUAAUAUAAAUUCAAGAUUUUUUACAACACAAAAUAUUUUAAAUAUGUGUCUCAUAGUGAGCAAGUUUGCAAUGAAUUUAGUUUGUGAUUUUUUUGGGUACUAACCUUAAAUACCUAGGAAAAAUGGAAAGUGUUGAUGGCGCAAACUUCAGCACGAGACAUGGCGCGCAUGUAUGUAGGCAAUAUGCCUGACCAAAAUAAUUUAGAAAGGCGAAGCAAAAGGAGGGAGAAAAUUUAGAGGAGAUGCGGGUCCCAUCUUUGUUAUGCAUCCCCUCGACAAAGAUUUGGCCCCAGCCCUAAUUCUUAUUUCCAUAUUUUCUUCAUUCAUGAAUGGUGGUGUGUUGUCAUUUCAUGCACUCUCCCUCUCCUUUCUAUCUUUCCAUGCGUCGGCUAACCGACAGAAAAAAAAAAAACACUUUUUCAUUAUUUAUUCACGGGACUUUGGUCACGCAAAAGGGUCUUGUUCCCAGCAAAUUAGAAAAAAAAAAAAAAUUAUGCAUUUUGCAAGCAUGAACAUAAAGGGAGGCUCACCACCCGCCUCGGUGGUUUUGCUAGAUAAGGUCCUGUUGAUCCUUACUUUCAAGGUGAGAGGUUCGAAACCUAAUGGAGGCGCUUGGUGCCUUAACUGCUUGCACGGAAUGGUGGUUCCCUAGUGCGGUCCCAGGAUUUGCCCGCCGGCUACCGGCUGUACGGGGUUCCUUGGAUCAUAAGAAAAAAAAAAGGAGGCUCGAGAAAUGUAUGUUUGUCAUGUGGCGGCUCUUGGAUUGUCAUUCAUUCGGGUGAUUCUCCCAAUCGUAAGGUGAGGGCCAUGAUUUAUCAUCCCUACGCCCAUGCUUCCUAAUUUAGAGGAUCAAGGCGCCCUGGCUAUUUUUUUCUAUGUUGUUGCCAGGGCCAUGAAAAUUAUUGAGGAGGGCAUAUGUAUCAUUUUGGUUCUCUAGGAAAUCUAUUUUGGACUCUCUCUCUCUCUCUCUUCGUAGGUUGGGCUUUCCUUGGCAUACAAAUGCCAUUCCAUGUUUGCUUGUUCACGGCUCGACACACUAGCUGCCACUCCUUUCUUUUCCUCUCUCCUAACCACCACCGUCAUCUCAAACUCCAAUAAUUCCCAAUUCUUAUUUUUUUUUGUCAGUCUUAUUUUAUUUCUAUUCUAACUUUCGCUAUUAGAUUUUAGAUUUUUGCUCUCCCCUUACCGUAGGGCGUGAGGGUCAAAAUCCAUAUUUAAUACUGAAUUGUCCCUAUCCCAACCCCCGUGAAUGUGGAGAUUCGAAUCCUCCACCUCACUCUUUCGUAUUGGAAGAGUGGCCAUUGGGCAAUCCCAGUGAUUCAAGAACUAAGAACUCCCACUUCCCUCUCUCUCUCUCUCUCUCUCUCUCUCUCUCUCUCUCUCUCUCUCUCUCUCUCUCUCUCUCUCUCUCGUUUGUAUAAUGGGAAGUUUCUUGCUCUUCCAUUUUCCCGCACCCCACCUUUCUGAAGAAAUCUGAAGUUGCAGCAGAAAGGACAAACCUUUUGCUAUCAGAAACUCCGGAAACAGGAGGCAACUCUUGCUAAUACAAUAACCUCGUAAAAUGAAGCGGAAAAAAAAGGAAGAAAGAGAGGGAGAGAAAACAAUAUUUUAUGUUGUACCAAAUCUUUAGGGUUCUGGGGCCGUUUGGUUCAGCUUUUCCAAGGGGCUUUGGGCCUCGAAAGUCCCUUAGGAAAAAAAAUUGGUGUUUGGUUCAGCAUUUGAAGCUUCCCUUUUCCAAAUGCUGACCUUUGAAAUGCUAAAAGCCAAAGCAAGUCCCCACCUAUUUUGGGCAUUUCAGCAUUUUCGGCAUGCUGGUCUAAGGGAUUAAUGAAUUUUUGCUCAGUGCCUAUUUUACUCUCAAAAUUUUAUUAAAAGUCCAAUUUUACCUAAUACUAAACAAAACCCUAAUUCUUUCCUCUAUUAUGUAGCAUUCUCCAUCACGUGAUGACGGCUCUCUUCUUUGUCUCUCUCUCCUUGCAACUCACACCACUCCAUCAAGAUUUGAAUUUGAGUACAACUCCAUCAAGGCCGAAGUUUGUCGCGAUGAGCGAGCGAAUCUGAGAUCCGAGGUUGGUUUUGUUUCUCUUUAAUCGUUUGCUUCCUCUCGCGGAUUGGCGACGGCUCUGCUUCCUGCUCCUGCAUCGGUGAAACCCUAGGGACGAAAUGGGGGUUAUCCUGUCUUGUGUUGCUAACUUGAACUUGCCCUUUCGAUUUGAAUCGGUGGCAACAAGGAUCAAGGUGCACGAGCUGAGGCAGAAGUCGAAGACCGACCUUCUGACCCAGCUAAAGGAACUCAAGGUCGAACUCGCCCUCCUUCGCGUCGCCAAGGUCACCGUGGUGCCCCGAACAAGCUCUCCAAGAUGUACGUCACUGUUCUUACUUGAUUUUCGUGAUUUCAAUGGUCUACAUUGGAGCUUUUUUAUGUUUUUGGUAGAUGGUAAUGUUGGGUUUGGGAUGACCAUGAGCUUUGGUUAUGGUGGUUAAAUUGGGUUUUCGCACAUAUUGAAUUUCUUGUUUGUGGAAGUCAGUCAGAGCAUGUUGUAUUUGUUGCUGUUUAUAUGAUGAAUGAUCAAUGUUUUGGUGAUGGGUACUUUUUGGCAAUGGGUGGCCGGAAGCAUGGGAUGGUUAUAUUUUAUAAGGCAUUGGAAAUUCUGAAAAACUCGAUUGGUUGAUGAAUCUUGAGUGGAUAAAUGCAAAGAGUUGGCUUUUUGCAAGUAACUUACUGAGAUUUCUUUGAAAGAUGACGUCGCCAAUCAGUUGCUGUGAUGUUAUGGUAGCUUACGAGUUGGCAACGCUCCUGCUUGUUCCGUGUGCUCCUCAGUGUCAACAUCCCUUCAACAUCCUACCCUGCAAACAAGCAAUGUCAUUUAUAGCCAUUGAUGUGUGAUAGAAUUAAGCUUAAACCCAUUGUCAUGCUUUAUGAAUUAUCCAUUUGCUCACGCCUAAACUUUUUGCCCAAGACCUGUCAUGGAUUGAAUUCGUCCAUAGCAAGGAAACCUGACCUCUAAACCAAAAUAUUAAUUUGCAUAGUCUUGCAUUCGCAUCUCUUACUUGUGUUUCUUUGCAAUUUGUUACUAAUGGCAUUUUAUCAUGUCUGCAUCGAAUAAAAGAUGGGUCUUAUACGAAUUGGCCCGAUAGACGUCCCAUCGUUCAAUUGGGCGGAUGAUCCUUCAUGCAAUGUGGCGCUUAUGCUUAGCGUGAAAUCUCUUAAAUAUUGCAGACUUUUAUUACAUCAUUAGCUGUGACUUUCUGUCUUUCUUUCAUUUUCCUGAAAUGUUAAUUGUGUAGCAAAAUAAUAGUCAUAUUUCCAUUGCUUUCUGCAUUGCCCGUGAAAAUUAGUCCUUUCGAAGACGACAAAACCUUUUUUGUUUAGACAAAAGCUAAACAUUACGUGGUCCAAUAUAUAUAUUUUUUAUCUUCUUAAUCUUCGUAAUACGCAUGAUUAGUAUUUUGGGAAUUGAAUAUUUUCUCAAUGAGCACGUUCAACAAAUGUCUGGACGGUAUUCGUAGAUAAGAUUUUCUUUUCUUCUUUUAUGGCAAGGUCAUUGAAGCCAUACAUGGUAGGUGGUGCUGGUGGUUAGGUGGAGGCUAGGCUGAAUUUGUGUCCAUUGAAUGCAGUGUUGACAGAAGUUUCCAGCAACACAAACAACCAUGUGUCUAUGAUAUACAUUUAUAUGUCCACGAAAUGCUCGAGAAAGACUUACAAGAAUACGUCGAUGACAUCUAAAAUCGAGAGUCAAUAAAUUCUCACGAAGGAAUUCAACAUUCUCACCAUAUGUUGCAAGACAUCUGUCAAAUGCAGCAUUAAACUAUAAAUCAAAGAUCUAAACAAAAAUCAAAUUCAGAUUAAUGUAUGCAGCAUAGGAAUUCAUAGAACCAAAAAGGGCGCAGAAGCAGACGUUUAGGUGAUUGAAUUAUCUAUCAUUCAGACAACUUGUUAGUUCUCAGUGAUCAAAUGUAUUCUCUAGGAAAACUUGGGAGGCAGUCCACGUCUCAGAGGCAUGGCAAAUAAGGUAAAAUAGUUUUUAUAAUAAAAAAUGUCUUGAAGGGUAAGAAAGAAAAAUUAUAUACAAGUGGAGGAGGGUCUUGUGAUUCCCAGCCAUAUGGCUAGGAGUCUUAGUGGUUAAUUGCAAUGAAGAGGAAGUGCAAUAUUAUCCUAGCAAAACUAGCGAGAAGAGGAUAACAAUAAAUUUGGUUCGUUCUUAAAAGUAGUGAAAACAAUUCGAGUGUUUGAGGAAGAUGAAUAUAAAAUCUCUCUCUCUUGAGUUUUCGAGGAAAUCUCCCUCCUCCUCCCUCCCUCCCUCCCCAUUAUUAUCAAUUAAAGUAGUGAAAACGAUUUGAUUGUUUGAGGAAGAUGAAUAUGAAAUCUCUCUCUCUCUCUCGAGUUUUUGAGGAAAUCUCCCUCCCUCCCUCCCUCCCCCCAUUAUUAUCAAUUAUGGUGAUGAUCAUACGAGGGUCCCAAUCGUUUUUUCUAGGACUUGGACUUUAUACCUUACGGUGGAUAGGGGAAAAUCAUGUCCAUUCAGUAGGGGGCACUUAAUCACUAGCUAUAAGGAUAGUGUCCAUCAUCAUCACUAACUUUUAAUACUAGAAAAAUAAUAUCUAAUUAGUUAUACUAAACCAAUAGAUUUUUAGACAUUUAGUUUGUAUAAUUUAAUGAGAGGGAGUCUUUCUUCUUUUUAAUGAGAGGGAGUCUUUCUUCUUUUCCAAAUAAAAGUUCAAAAGCUUUCGUUAAGUAGUAGUAGAGGUUUUAGAAGAUAUGACUAUUUGUCUCCAAAUAUAUAUAUAUAUAUAUAUAUAUAUAUAUAUAUAUUGUAAUUCAAAGUAUGAAAAGAACUUGAGAAACAUUGUUAAAGUCUCCAAUUUAAUUACAAAUAUCUUAUUAUGUAAUGAAUUCUAACAUUGCACAUUGAACUACGAAUAAAACUUAUAUGAUAAAAAAAAAUUGUUUCAACAAAUAGGUAUUCACAUCAUGUUGCAUAUUAUAUGUUAAGGGAAGUUAUGCAAUAGAACCUAAUAUUAUCUUCAUUCAGGUAUUGUACCCAACAAUCAACACCACUUGUCAUGGAUUGAGUAGAGGCGAAAUGGGCCUUUUUAACUUGGCAAUCGGGCAUCGUCAUAGGUAAAGUCACAAUCAAAAGCAAAAUGAAAGAAAGAGAAUAGGCAAUUGAAUCAUAAACUAAACUUAAUGAAUUGCUUCUUGGCCUUAGUUUUGACGAAAGACCCGACCAAGUGGACCCAAGAAGUGUUUAAUGCGGUGGCAUAAGAGCUAAAUUUGUCUCCAACUAUGUGGCCUUGUAAGUCUCCAAUAGGGGUUGCCGUGUGAUGAGCAUACGAAUUGCAAGCAAACGUGGGAAUGUAUUUUGAGAAAAUGCAAAAGUUUUUUGAACUAAAAGGGUUUUUUUGAAAUUGAAAUAGUAUUUGGUAGAGUGCUUUUUAAAAAUACAUUAAAAAGCAAUUUGAUGUAAAUGCCGUUCAUAGUUUAUAAAGGAUUCUUGGUAAAUUUCAAUGUUAUAAGAAACCUCAAAGCUAUGGCACACCAACCUAUGGCAAUUUGACCUUGGUGUUAAUAGAGGAGAGCCCGUGAUCUUUUUGCACGAUCCCAACUCCUUUAAUAUCAAGUUGAACUUCGCGUAGAAACAUGAAAUUGAAAGAGGAACUUAGGUAGGUGCAAUAGAUUAAUUCCUCUUUCCAUUUCUUUAGUACAUUUCGUACACGAGGUUUUGGGUCUUUUGAGAGGUCAUCAGCAAUAAAACAUAUGAAAAAAGAAGAAGAAGAUAUUAAUUAUGAUCAAUUUAACUUAUUUUGAUUUAUUUAUAUGAACGUCAAACCCCCCCUUACUAAAACACAUAGAUACUAAAAAAAAAAAAAAAAAAGCAAAUCAGCAGCGGGCCUCCCAAAAGCCCAGACACGGGCUUUGGCUUGCAGCAAAAGAUUCGUCUCCUUUCUUCUCCUCCUCUUCUCCAUCGGUUCACAGCAGCAACAGAGAAUCCCGAAGUUGGAUGUCCGGUGGUAUGGAGAGGCUUCAGAGAAUGUUCGCCGGCGCCGGAGGUGGUCUGGGCCACCCGCCCCCCGACUCCCCGACCCUCGAUUCAUCCGAGCAGGUCUACAUCUCCUCCCUCGCCCUCCUCAAGAUGCUCAAGCACGGUAUGGUUUCUGUUGCUCGAUUCCCAUUUUUUUUUUUUUUAGUGUCGUGGGUUUCUGUUGGCGCGGUUUAAUGGGUAAUUCCGGUUGCUUGCGGUUGUUCCAUUUUUAGUGUGUCUUUGCUUUUUCCCUAAAUUGGGACUUGGGAUUUGACCGACCAGGGAGGGCUGGGGUUCCCAUGGAAGUGAUGGGGUUGAUGCUUGGGGAGUUUGUGGACGAGUACACCGUCCGAGUCGUCGAUGUGUUUGCUAUGCCGCAGAGUGGUACCGGUGUCAGUGUCGAGGCGGUCGAUCAUGUGUUCCAGACCAACAUGCUCGACAUGCUCAAACAGACUGGAAGGUUUAAUUAUCCACCCACCCACCCACUUGGUCCCAUUUGCUUUUUCUUUCUAACUGGAUGGACAUUGGACACUUCUCAAUCUAUCUUUUUUGCUUAAUUGUAUCGGGGCCCUUUCAUCAAAGCUAUUAUGUGUUCUGCAUUGCAGACCAGAGAUGGUGGUAGGUUGGUACCACUCUCAUCCUGGCUUUGGAUGUUGGCUUUCUGGUGUGGACAUCAACACUCAGCAGGUCACCUCUUUUACCCUAUAUUUGAUUCUUAUAGGGAGCAUGUAAAUUGUAGUUACAAACUAAUGAAAUGAGCUAGAGUUUAGCUCUCAUCUGUGGUUGGAAGAGAUCUAUGAUUAGACUUGGUUUGGGCCUUACGUAGGUGGUCUGGUUUUUGAAUCCCAAUCCGGUUUAGUUUGGUAUCUGCCUGGGAACCGAGAACCCAACAACAUAGUACAGGUUCAAAAAAACUGGGACUGGGAACCGGACUGAAUUCCACCAGAACAUAGACCAAUCUUGUUCUUCAAUUCCUGAUUUUACUCUGGAAUCAUGCUCACCCCCAGUUGAAGGUUGUGGCUUUGGAAAUUAACUCAGAGAGUUGUACCUCAACAUAUUUUAAAUAUUUUCACUCUUGGUUGAUAAUCUAUGAUUAGUUUCUUUUGUCCUUUUUUUGCUAGACUAUAAUUGCUUAUAGGUUUCCAGUUUGAUCCAAUUUUUAACAAGGCUGCUUUUUACUUGUGCUGUGUUCUUAUAAAAUCAGAGUUUUGAGGCUUUAAAUCAGCGUGCGGUUGCAGUAGUGGUGGAUCCCAUCCAGAGUGUCAAAGGGAAGGUUGUGAUUGAUGCCUUCCGUUUGAUCAACCCGCAAACCAUGAUGCUUGGCCAAGAACCCAGGCAGACAACCUCCAACCUUGGACAUCUCAACAAACCGUCCAUCCAGGUGAGUUUUGACCAGAAAUAUUCUUUUUGAUUAUUGAGUUUUGAUCUUAUCUCAUGGGGUUGACUUCAUGUUUCUAGGCAUUGAUCCAUGGGCUGAACAGACACUAUUACUCAAUUGCCAUCAAUUACAGAAAGAAUGAACUUGAGGAAAAAAUGCUACUUAAUCUUCACAAGAAGAAAUGGACAGAUGGCUUGACGCUUCAUCGUUUUGACACACAUUCUAAAACCAAUGAACAGACUGUUCAGGUAAGUCAAGGUCUUAAUCUGUCGCAUAAAGAUUGGAGAAUUGGUUGCGCCAGUCACUUAGAGGUGGAUUCUAGACAAUGCAAGACAAGACCCUCUGCUUAAGCAUAUUUUCAUCUGAUGUCCAUUUUUUCCUAAUUAAUCAAGAUCAAUUAGCUUGCAAUGCAUAUAGAAUUCAUUGAACUGGAUGCUGAAAAGCUGUCAUUUCUUGCAAAACAAAGGAUUGUUUCCAAAUUCAGAUCCUUGUUUUAGGUGGAUCUUUUUUUUUUUUUUGGGUAGGAGUAAGAUUCAUGCUUUAUUAUCCAAAAGCUAAGGUCGUGCUUUAUGCUUUACAUCUAGGCUGAGAAGAAAGCAUCCAGGGGAAAAAAUAUAGUCGUUUGUUUUGUAAUAAGAUUGGUUACAUAGUCUGGUUCAUUCUUUGGUAUAUUCUCUUCCAAAAACUAUUAAUGAAAGUACACUGCAGAUACACCUCCCCCCUCCCUUCUCUUCUUUUUUUAUCUUAAACGGAUUGGCAAAGACCUAUUCAAUGAAAGGCAACAGGGCAACGAUUGAUUGGUGACAAUCUCUAGUCAAAGCUUUACAUGAUUCUUGGUGCAUACUCUGGACAGGUGUUACAGAUAUAUUAGGAACAUUUACGGCAAUGGACGGGGAUGACAUUGUGUGUGGUGGUGUAAUAAAUGCCUCAAGUCUGAAGACUUGAAUAUGGGUUUUCCUUGUAGGUCCAUUUAAGUAAGUGGAGGAUAUAUAUAAUUCACCCGUGGCAGGAUUAGGAAAGUGAGAGGAGGGUUGUUGGCCAGUGAGUAUAACCGGUGAUUGUUUGUAUCUUAUUAGAGUCCAAUAACGAGUAGUGGCUGGCCACAAUAUCCAUAUGGUAGGGCCAUAGGAAACCCAUAUUUUUCUGCAGUUCAUUAUGAAUAUCAUAUCAGUUGGUUGGUGGGCGGAUGUUUUUGAUUUCUAUUUAUGGCACAAUCAAAAUGAGUUGAUUUUUUUCCCCCUUCCAAUCUUGCAGGAGAUGCUGAAUUUGGCAAUCAAGUAUAACAAGGCAGUGCAGGAGGAGGAUGAAUUGCCACCAGAGAAGCUGGCGAUUGCGAAUGUGGGAAGGCAAGAUGCCAAGAAGCACCUCGAGGAGCACGUUUCCAACCUUAUGUCUUCCAACAUAGUUCAGACCUUAGGGACCAUGCUUGAUACCGUAGUCUUCUAAGGCCCUCCGAAUCGGGCAUCUUAUGUCACCUGCAUUCUGCACAACUCUGUAUCAUCUUUUGCGGCGGUGUUCCGGGACUAAUUAUUACAUUGGCUUGAUCAGUAGACGCUGCAGCUUGUAAGAAAUCUAGCCCUUUGUUCUCUGCCUUGCUUGUAUCCCCAUUCAAACAAUUCAGUUAUCAAUUUGUUCCUAUCCAAGAAAGGGAAAGGAAAGGAGACGGUUUAUCCGCGAGCCUCUGUGACAUGAUCUCUUAUACUAAAUAACGGGGCAGGUCUCCUGUCUCCGUUCAGUGGGGGACGAUGAAUGGAGUUGACAAAGAUGUAGCCACCGCAUCGCUCCGUGGGCGGACAUGAGACAAGAACUUGGGCAUGCAUCGUCAUUGCUUUACUUAGCAGCCACACGAGCCAAUCGUUGUGAAGAGUGCCUCCACAAUAUAAAGUGUUAAUGUUUUACAAUUCUAAUUAGAAGUAACACAGCGAUGAAAUCUUAAAGUAACUUAUACCGGAAAACACACUCAGCAUCUUUAGGUUGUUAUUGUACGGUACCUGAGUCGCAUAGCCAAGUGGUGCGACAUGUUGGCGCCGCCGCUGUCACCAGCAAGGAAGAGCCGAUCGAAGUUGGCAUGGUCCCUGAGCCACAGCUCGCACCGGGCUUCCUCCGAAGUGAUCCACUGCAGAGCAGCCCAGGAAUCAUCGUAGGCCGUGGGGAGGGCGUGCUCGGGACUCGACGAUAGUCAACGGAGAUGAGGACAAUGUUGCACUCGGCAACAAGGGCAUUGAGGCUGGAGUGAUAUUUGGGGUCAGCAAUGGAGGAGAUGAUGAAGGCCCCGCCGUGGAAGUAGAGGACGAGGGGGAGUUUUGUGGUGGCGGAUGCCAAGGAGGGGCGGUAGAUCCGGGCAGAGACGCCAGCGUCGGGGAGGAUGAGAAUGUCCUUGGAUUUGACUCCUGGCUCGGGGUCAAGGCCAGGUGGGGCGAUCUCGAAGCCGGCAAGGCGUUCGAAGGUGCCGUCCUUGUAGACUCUGAUGUAGGGGAAGAUCUCGAGCGAAACCUCCUUGGAUGAAUCCAUGAGAGAGAGAGAGAGAGAGAGAGAGAGAGAGAGAGAGAGAGGUCAACGAUAUUGAUCAGAGAUAGGUGAAGAUGAUGAAUUGAGAGACAAGAAACAGCGAUGGCUCGAACAGGGAAAGAAAAGCACUGGUAAGAAUUUAAAAAAUGAUUAUUGGGCAAGAAAUAUAGAAAAAAAAAAUGAGAUGUUGAGUUUGGACGGCAAAAUUUAUUGGCUCAAUAAGUUUAAACUAGGUGCGUGUAAAAUUUGAUGGAUUAAUUUUGGGGGUAAUAAAUCAAUAGUUCCCCAAUCCACCUUUGCCAAAACGCACUCCAAUUUCAGACCUAAAACUUAACCCAUUUUUGAAAAGUGAAACAAUCAAAAGGAGGGCAAAAAAAGGAAGAAUCUCCUGAGGUUAGGAGGAAUGAUGGGGAAAAAAUAUCCUCAUUUUCAUUGACUAAGGAUGUUUCUUUUGUCGAAUUGCCCUAGCGAUACAGCUUAAAGAGGGAUCCAGAGGGAAUAGUUGGAAAUAAUUUGAAGGUAAAUGAUGAUUUCUAAUAAAAUAAUUUACACAAGAAUUUUAAGACCACGACUACUUUUACCGACAAACUGUUAUAAGAAACUACAAACAAAAAGAUAAGUCCGCCAUAAUUAGAGGCGUCCCCCAACCUCUUCUCACAUUUCACCAUAACUAGAGGCAUCCCCCAACUUCUUUUCACCUAUGAAGGCUGAUGUGGUAAUUUUUAAAUAUUUUUUUUUGACUUUUUAAUUAAUUUUUUUUCUUGUCCUUUUCUUUUUCCUCUUGUUCUUGGCCUUCUUCUCACACAAUGCAAUGGCAAGUCAACGGCGAGCUAGCCUUCAUUGUGGCUGAAAAAUCAAAUUUCAGAAGUAAGUUUGAUUGUAAUUUUGGGCUGAGCUGAAUAGACAUUACUUUUAUUUUGGAGGGCUAUUUUGUAGGGUUGAUCCAAAAAAAGAAAAAAAAAGAAAAAGAAAAAGGCUGGGACUGAAAGAAUUCAGGGCAAGACGUGUUGCUUUUAAAGUUUAGAAAAUGUGAAUCUUUCCUUUCUUUGGUAAGUUAAACAAUUAUUAUGUACCAACUAUUUUCAGAAACAGUAAUCCACUUUUUGGCUCAUUUUGGGCCAUUUUCGAGUUUAUGCCGAGAUUUUUGUUGCUCAAUUCAAUAAUGUAGUCAAUUAGUUAAGUAAGCCAAUAGAGGAAAUAAUUGAAGAAUCCAAGCAAGGCAAGACUAAAUUUUUGGCCUGACCCAAAAUGAGCUAUAAGGUAGAAUCAGCGAAAAAGGACUGCCACUUCAGUCUUGGCCUUCAGGUUUUUAUUUGCACCUGUGUACAAAAUAAAUUCAUUAACUUGCCAUUCACAAUGUUGCUUUUUCGGUAAUGACUUCAUACACGAGAGUCAUAAUAAUGAAAAAGAAAAACAAAAUCGGACAUGUCCAUGACCGUGAGUUGAGAGAAUGCGACGUGGAGCUCCAUCUCCUGUCAAGAGUAGAUCACCUGGCUAAGAGGAAAAUUGGAAUGAUUAGAUAUCCUAUCGACACCCCCCCGGGGGGUUUGCUUUGGAUAUGAAAUGUGGUAGGUGUGUGUGGGAGAUUUGAGAAGACACCAUGGUUUGUAAAAGAAAAUAAUUCUACUUAUUUUUACCUCAAGUUAAAAUUAAAAUUGCUUUGGAUAUAUUGAUGUAUAAUAGAAAAUCUCGGGACAAACUCAAAAAUUUAAUAGCCAAAGUCCUAGAUAAUUGACCUCAAGUUUGCGAAAAAAGAAGUUUUAUUGGACAAAUAGGUUGAAUUAAAAAUAAUCACAAAAGACAAACUUCAUCAUAAAUAGUAAUGAGCACAUAAAUCUCUAGAUAAUUUAGCCUGAGUUUGAGAAAAAUGAGGAUUUAUUGGAAAGAUAGGGUUGAAUUAAACCUAGUCACAAAAAAAAACAUUUAUCAUAAAUAGUAAUGAACAUGUGUUCGUAUAAUAUUAUUGCAUCUAUCCACAGAAUCUUAGGACUUUGCUAGGAACUUUUUUAGGUUACUAAUGUCAAGAUUGUGGAUGUAUUACACCCUUAUACUAAUUAUGUAAGAAAACAUAUGUUUAGAAUUUUAUGCUUAAACAAUUUAUCUAUAAUUUAAUUCAAUAACUAUAUACAUGUGUAUAUAUGUCAACAACCAUAUAUCUUCAACCACAUAUUUAUGACGUUUCAAGUUUGUGUGGUGGUUGUUUAUUCAAGUUUUGCGUGAAGAUUAAAAAGAGUAUCCAAACAAAAGAAUUAACGUAAGGAUGAUUUACAAGCACCAUCCAUGUGAAAAAUGCCUCGGAUAAAAUUUGGGGGAAAAUAUGACUUUUAUGGAUUUAACAAGAGCUAAAAGGUUGUGACUAUUCAUGAAGAAACAAGCAAACUCAAAGUCUCUAAUCGGAUCAAAAAGAUAGAUUUGCAUAUUUUCACCCAUCGACAAGAAAAAAGAGAGAGUAAAUAUCUAGGAAAAAACUGAAAGGAUGCAAUCAUUUAGGACAAAUUGGUUCAAUAUCUUUCUCAAUAAGAAGUUUGUAUUUAGAUUGUAACCAUUUCAAAGAAAGAUUUAUAGGAUACCACAUUUGGAGGCAAUAUGGCUCCUUAUGUAGUCUCUGUGACUAAUCUUCAUAAUUGAACCUUCUCAAACUUGAAAUCUUUCAACUUCUUUUUCGCUUCCUCUUUUAUGUAGCGUAUGUGACCUAUCUUCAUAAUUACUAGUCAAUUUGGAAAAACAAAAAAGUAACUAUUUGCAUGAAAAAUAACUUUAUACAUUUUUCCAUGAGCCAAUCAUCAAGCACACAGAAGUAUCGACAAGAAAAAGAAGAAACCAAAUUUUAGUGAAAAAAAUUAACCUUUUUUUUAAUACCAUUCUUUCCUUCUGCCUCUUUUUCUUUGAAAGAGCUCUUUGAACUUUUAUCUCCACCUCACAAUAUAGCAGUAGAUAGCUGAAAUCUGUUGACAUUGAUAACGCAUCUCAAACAUCCUGAUCUUUUUCAUGAGAUACCAUGCUCAACUUGGACCUUGGGCACAAAUUUCCUUAACCAUGCCUCUAAAGUCUAUUCCUCUUGUCUAUAGAGUGAAAAACAAUUCCUCACAAUUCUAAAAAUAAGAUCAAAAUUAUGUUCCCCUAUUUUAAAAUGGGCAAGAAAUGAAGGCUCAUGUCGAAAAGGGCAAGCAUCAGCAUGCCCUUUCUAGCGUGAUAUAAAGAGGGAAAUCAAGAAAAUGGGAAUGGGGACAUGCUUUUUCUACUCCUCAUAAAACCAUUAUCUCAUAGCUACCAAGCUUGAAUUGAGAGUCACUUCAAGAAAAGACGAUAAUCAUCAAUUUUACAAAACAAAACAAUGAAAAUCAAAUCAACAAAAGACCAAUAUUGCACCUAACACCUCAAUUUCUUCCUCUAUAAAAUGACUAUCGAGCUCAUGCAGCUUCCAUCCUAAUUCUGAAUCAUCCCAUCGUUCCUCUUCCUUUUACUUCCAUUCCGGUUCCUCUCCAAAGAAGAGGAUGCUUUCUUCUUUCUUGUUUCAAAGCAAUUCCCCAAGCAACUCCAGUUUUUGUGGGCUUCAUUUCAGGAUGAGACACCACAUACCGAGAUACUUAUUAUUUUAUUAUUUUUAUAUUUUCGCACUGUGUUUUGGUGAAUAAAAAACUCACCGCUUCAAUUUAUCUUUUUGAAAUAUUAAUUACACUAAAAAAAAAAAGGCAGUGUAAAGUAUCUUGAGAUUGCAAAUAAUAAUCAUAAAAUGUUUCAUAAUUCAUUAGCCAUUGAGGAAAACCUCAACAAAAUUUAAUUCAUCUAACUUGCAUGUGAUUUUCAUCAAUUUGGCAAAGGAGCUUGUGCAUCUAUUUAUUCCCUCCAAAGACAUGUAUACAUAAAAUAAAAUAAUAAUAGAAAAACCUAGUCAGUGAUUAGACGUAUUGAUUAAGGAAAAUAUUUUCUUGAUCAAAACUAUUAAACUCCGGUCAUCUUUGGAUCAAAAUUAAUUUUUUCUUUUGGGGCCAGUAAAUCUUUAAUAUCUAUCAACUAUCUUUUUAACUAAAAAAAAAGAGAAAAGGAUAAUUUAAAUAGCUAUUUAGCUACUUGGCAAAUUUUAAGAAAACAUGGCCGUCAGAGUUCCUUUGCUUCUCUUCUCCUAAUGGGAACAGAAGACGGGCAAUUUUUUUUUUCCUUUUUAUGUAUAUUUCUCUAUUUUUGGCCUGCCCCACCACCUCUUUCCCUUGGUGGCCCAUCUGCCAUCUGGGUGUCUUUAUUAUUUGUUAUUUUCUUUUUGGGUCAUGUGGGUUUCUUGAUUAUGUGUUCAAGGUCCCUCCUCUCUCUCUACUCUCUUCUCUCUCCGUGGAAUUUUAAAUUUGUUACCGUUGUUUCCAGUCUCUCAUCUGCAUCGGGAUGUCUUUUUUACUCGAAACCCUACAUUUUACUUUAGGAAAAACAUGGAGAAAUUUUUUUCAUUGUUUAAAAAGUGAGAGUGUAUCAUAUGUGUGAAAGUAUAGUAUUUUAAGAUUAGAUAUGGUGCAAAUUGCAAUUCUGAAUAAGUAAAGAUGGUUAGGUUUUUUGCAAUGUUUCUAUAAAAUGUUUUGGAAAUAUCCAUAUAAUAAUUUGGACUUUGGUGGAUACGAUUAGAUUUGUCCGACUAUCCUUAAUCUUGUCGACUUUUAUUUCUAUUUGCCUCUUCAAACGAAGGGGAUCCCAUUGACAAAUACUUUGUGAAUCGUUUGCCCAUACACUUGCAUUUACGAAAAAGAGUGAAGAUAAAAUUCAAAGAAAAACUGAUUUUUUUUUAUGAGUCUUCAAAUUCCCUAUCUCAUUAAGCUGCCAAACAAGCCGAAAGAAAGAAAUUGCCAUCCCAUUUUUGCACCAUUUUCCGGUCCAUUGUUAAAUACAUGGGCAUAUAUUUGCUAAUGCGACUAAUUAAGGAGAUAUUAUAAUUUUCAGUGCGGGUAUAUUUUCGAGAGCGUUGAGCGUCACAUGGUAAGGGUGUGCAUGAAAAAAUUUCUGAAACAAAAAUUGAUUUCUCAAUUUCUAUUUCAGAAAUUAAGAAGUUAAAAAUUUUAGCUUCUGAUUUAUUCUUCAAAUCUAUUUCUGGAAUAAAGAUCUAUUCUAGAAAUAGAAAAAUCAAAUUGUGUUACCAAACAAAUUGAUGUUCCAAACUUGUUUUGGGAAACAGAGAAAUAGAGAAAUAGAAAAGUAGAAAUUUUAUCAUGCGCACCCCAAAUAAGUAGAACAAAGCUAAUCACUUCCUUUCUUGUUUAGUAAUUGAGCCAUAAACUCUCCAUGAACUCUUCUAACGGUGGAGACCAUAGAGUUUGGACAUCCUUCAAAGGACAAUUCUAGGUAUAUGGCGAUGAAUGCCUCAGAACUCACAUAAUUUUAACCAAAAAAUGAUAGCACCUAUUUCCACCAUAUAAAUUACUUUAUAAAUUGCUUUAGACACACCAUAUAAUUUAAAUUUAAAUAGUUCAAAAUAGCCAUCUUCAGGCCCCAUUAAUGGUAAGACAGAUAGGAAAGAGGAAAAGCAUACAUCUAACCAGGGUCUAUGCACUUUCAUUAAUAAUUGUUUCUUCUUUCCAAUUAUCUUUUCUUUUUUUUUUACAAGAGUCCCAUGAAAUUUGAGUAUUUUCACGAGUUUAGUGGCUUGGAAUACGAGACUACUAACAAAGUUAUGAUGUGUUAAACAAUUAUAUACAAUCUCUCUAUAAAUAUUAAUUUCUAAUAAGUUCAAAUUCUUUUCUAAGCAGAAAUCUUUGGUUAAAAUUGUGAACUUUUUAUGAUUAUAACUUAGGUUUGGGACGUCCGAUUAAUAAAGAUUACCAACAAGAUUCAAAUUCAUCGGUUGCCCACUUUUGAACCCAUAUUUAGCAUCCUAGAAAGAAAUUUUCCCUUUUCUCUUUUUGAGACUUAUACUUAGAUGAUUUUCAUAUCGGCUUCCAUAGUGCCAUUUUCUCUCCCAUAAGUGCUUUACAUAAAUACUAAAUGGCAAAUUUAGAUGGAAAGGAAACCUUGGAAGGACAAGGCUAUUGACAACUUAUGGAAACUAGUGCUUUUAGUUGCAUGGCAUUCUCAUGAGAGGUAUCAAUGACAACAAUACCAUAAUUUUGUUUUUUCCCUUUUCCUUUUUGGUUAGAACCAAUAUGUCUUCACGUAAAAUAUUGAAAUAACACCGUCCAAUAAUACUUUAUUCUCUUCAUUCAAACGGAUGAGAGACAAAAAAAUCAUACAAAAUCCAAAGCUUGGGAUAGUCCGCAGCUUCUUGGACCUUGGGGUCAUUGUUAUUUAGACCGGAUGAUUGAAAGAAAUGUCAUAGGAAUCAAUCAUGCAGGGCAAUGGAGCACUCCUUCAAUUGCUGCUUUAAUAGUAUCUUCAAUAGAUGUGCCCCACUUUCUGUUUAUUGUCGUAAUCCGUAACAACAUGUAAGAAUAGACCACUUGGAUCUAGGAGUAGGACCAUCCUCUUCUAGGAAAUCAGGAAGCUUUAAGUUCAACAUCAGAAAAUGACCGAAAGGGCCUUGACAUCCUUCUCAAGUAUUUAUUUUUAGUCAUUAUUAUUCUGUUUAAUACAAUUCCCACUUUCUUGCAUUCAAUUUCCACAUCUAUUCCUCAAUAGGUGCAUGGGGCUAGGAUAUAGCUAGGUACCUAUUAUUCGUGAUUCUAUAGAAAAAUACUAUUAAAAUCGGAAACCGCGCUGAUCUCUAGUUGGAAUAUACACAUAAUACGCACGAUACUGGCAUGGCACAUGUACGAUGCUAGCACGACAUGUGCAUAACACACUUAGGAGUCCAACACCUAUUAGAAAAAGUAGGAAAAGGGAACCCACCGUGCUGUAGGAAUUAUGCCUACUCCUAUGCGAUUGCAGCAUUUAUAGUUUGCAUCGUGCUAGGUUUUGGUUAGUCCCUCUCUUCCUCUCUCAAGCUCUCUAGCAUUGUAACCAAUAUUUCCAAGCAUUCCAUCAAGUUUUUCCAUAAAAACUAAUCAAUUCCUUGUAAAUCGAUGAUGUUUGUGACAGCCUGAAUUUUCAGAUUUGUUUUCGAUUAAAUAAAUCGGGCUUUUCGUCGACGCGUCUAUAGUGCUAUUCUCUGAGUUGGCCACUCACGAGAUAACUGGUCUAUCUGGGAAAGCAAUUAAGGAAUCUAAAUGCAAUGGACUUGAGAAUUCGACCAGGAAUCGACUACUCGACCGUGUCCAUCUGCCGAGAUCAUUACGGCACUGUCGAAAUCGAUUAGAGAUCGGAGAUAGGUCAAUUCGAUUGAGAUAUGUGAUCAGAGUGUGGGUGAUUCCACCUGAUUUCAAAAUACUCAUCGAUCGGCACUAGACCGAUUUUUCUAUCGUUUUGGUACCCGGUGCCUGUAUUUGAUUCCUCGAGAUUUUCACGACAAUUGAGAGUCGCUAAUGUGUCGAAGAUGUACUUUGUGACUCGAGAUAAAUCGAUCACGGGUCAAUUGUACCAAAAAUUCCUAAAAGUGACCCGGUAGACUAGGUCACGCUAAAAGCGCGCCAGAUUGAAAUUAAUCGUGAAUUUGAAUCCGAUUUCAGAAAUUGAAAGUUCUGUGGUGUCACGACCUAUUUUAGGAACGUCGACUCAUCCUCCGAAGAUUUUUCAGAGAUUCCGAGAUUUUUACGGAAAUCCGAUUCGGACGUCGUGGAAAAUAAAUGGAAAUUCGUACGGGCCGAAUUUAAGCGAGUUUUAACUUCCAAGCCGAGCUAUAGGGUAUUGGGGACUUAUAGAAUAUUAUAUGGGUUUUUCUUCAUCAACAUUGGAUAUGAAAUUUGAGGAAUUUGUCAAAGAGAUUGAAGCUAUGUGAGUAAAAUUCGGAGUUAAGGAGGAGGGCUGGAUUUUAGCCUCAAAAUUGGGUUUAAUUGGUGGAUUUUAGACUAGAAAGUAUUGAGGAAAUAUAAGAUAAGGUUUGAGGCAAGAGGGAGGACCAAGCAUUAAUUGUUGAAGAUAUUUUGCUUGGAUUUUUGCUCAUCUUCCUUCGCACGUCAUCUUCACCGGUUCUUUCCCCUUUGCCGUCUCCUUUUAAAACGGAUUGAAGCCGACUCCCCUUCCUAAAGAACGAACCGCCUCUGCCUUCUUUCAUCUUAGUCUUCCUCGUUGCACCUUCGCCAAACCAACACCAAUUCUCAGCCACCAAUCCACUUUCGAGCUGCCUCUACUGUUUUUCCAUUCGUUCCUUCGAAGAUUGAAGCUGUUGUAUCCCCACCAACGUCCACGAAGCAGCUCCUCUCGUCCGCAUCUUCACCAGUCCACGCGUCUUCAGCUUCUUCGGUCAGAACCCCCAGCGAAGGACCACCGCUGUUGACUCCAAACCCACCGAAGAAAUCCCCAUGCGUCCGCCGAAGAUCAGCGAAGCCAGCUCGCCUUCUCCUCCGUUCCCCUUUGCCACGCUAGCCCACGUGUCUUCCAGCUACCAGAGUUGGUCAACCAACUGACUUCAACGUUGUGGAUUUCGGCCAGCUCAAAGACCAAGCGAAGCUGCUACCGCGCGUCUUCUGGUUGUCUGCCCACCGUCCGCGAGCAGCUCAGCAUCUUCGGUCUCCUCUGCCAACGAAUCCAGCCGCGUGAAGUCCAAGCGAAGCAGCUGCUCCUUCGCCGUUGAUCUUCACCGAGUCAGGCCCAACAUCACCGUAGCUCAGCCCACAUCAACGGCCCAGCAAGUUGCCAUUCUUCUGCAGCCCAUCUUCACGCAAGUCUGGCCCACAAGAAUCAGCCCAGCAGAAUUCAGUCUUUGAAGUUCAGGCCCAAGUUCAAUUGGUUUUAGCAGCCCAUUUUGGGCCCAAGAAGAAGGCCCAAGCCUGCGACCAGCAGCUUGUAGAAGCCCAAGACCUAAACUCAGCCUUGCUGAGUUGUGUUGGGCCCGUUUUAGGCCCGGUCCGAGAGUUCGCCGACACCGCCGAAAAUUAAGAUUUCGGCCGUCGUCGCGUCGUCAUCGCGGUGAACCGGUUUUCGCGAUACACCGGUGAGUUUAUACUCUAAACUCUGCUUAGUAGGUUAAUGACGUUUAAGGGGUGUUAGAUUUAUUUUAUUAGGAAUUAGGUGGUUAGUUAGAUUAAAUUAGAAAUGUAAUUAUUUAAUUGAGCAUGUUAGGUGGUUAGCAUGGUUUAGUUAAGGCCUAAACAAAUUGUACUAUUUAUCUAGAAGGGUUCGGGAAUUUCUCCGAGUCCAUAUUGGUUAUUAAUUCAAUGAUUUUGGCCUAGGUUAUUAUUUGUAGAAUUUAAAUUGAUUUAUUUAAUUGAUUUCAGUAAUUAUU
rnacentral:lncRNA from 1 species